UUUUUUUUUGGUUUUUCUUAAGGUUUAUCAAACACACAAGAAGAAAGCAAGAAAAAGAAAGUAAACUAGCAUGGAUAUUACAGUGAAAAAGUAUGAGAACCGACAUCUAGCAAUGAGUGUGUAAACAUAAAUGUAAUAUCGGUGGGAAAUACGUACUCCCCCAAGCUUAGGCUUUUGGCCUAAGUUGGUUUAUUGCCACGGCUGGCCUGGCAGAUAUCCAUAGUUGUAGUUGGGGUCGUACUGAGAUGCAGCGGCUAUUGCAUCAUGGGCUGCAGCUUGGAGGCGAGCUGCCCUCGUCCUCCUUUCGUACUCAUUUGCCUCCUCCCUGCUUAUAAAAUGUCUCCCCUUUGCCUGAAAGUCAAAGAGAGUAGGGGUAGGGAGAACAAUAUUGACGGCGUGACACCUGUCAAAGAUUAGUCGGUACUGGAGAGGUGGUUCAUUCCUCUCGACAACCUGAUGGUGAACCAUAGCAUUAAAGUCUAGAUAAGUAGGAGGCAAUUCAAUAUCAUCAUCGCGUACGGUUACACCAAGAAAAUCAGCUAAGCGGGUUGCAUAAAUUCCGCCAAAGAAAUCUCCAUUAAAUCUAUUAUGAAGCAACCUAUGUGCAACAAUGGCUCCCAAAUUAUAAGAUUUAUCUCCUAACACAGCACUCCUAAGAAUACUGAGGUCAGGGACACACAUGUGACAUGCUUCAUCAUUACCAUUUAUGCACCUACCUAUGAAGACAACAAAAUAAUGUAUAGCAGGAAAAUGAAUGCUCCCCAUGGUAGCUUGUGCUAUAUCUCUAGAUUUCCCCACAGUUAUACUAGCAAGAAAAUCUCUAAAUUCAGAUUUGCGAGGUUCACUAGUACUACCCCAUUGUGGAAGUUUGCAAGCAGUAGUAAAAUCCUCUAAGUCCAUAGUAUAAGAAUUUUCAUAAAGAUCAAACAGAAGGUUUGAGAAUUGUGUGAAGAUGAAAAUUCAAACAUCCUCACAAAGGAACUAGUGAGAUAGUGGUACUGACGGCACUUUUCUGCCUCGAAGCUCACAAGAUCAGCGUUACGCAAAUAGGUGUUAAAUUCUUCCUUGAUUCCCGCUCGAUCCAUAAAGUCUUCUGAAGGCCAUUCACAAGGCCGCACUGGAGCGUCCCUUGGUGGUUCACCGUCGGCAUCACGCAUUGCAAGCCUGGGUCCUUUCUUCCUUGAAGAACCACCUUGGUACAUUUUCCUAAACAUAUUUCUUCCUCUAGAAAAUUUCAGAAAAUUUUAGUAACUUCAAAUAAAAGUGAACCAAGCUCAACAAAAUUGAUAGCAACUACUCCAACAAGUGCCUAGAGACUAUAUCAUGCAUUAGAACUACUUGGAACCAUAUAAAUUUGACAUGCAAGCUCAAGAACAUGGUCACCUAGGCAGCACAAAUUUGCAAUGAAUAAAGCACUAGAACAAAAACUAAUUGGACCAAUGGAGGAGUCACAUACCAAGGAACAAUCCCCCAAAGCAGUUUUGUGAGAGGUGCUUUGAGCAAGGAGAUCAAAAAUCGCAGCAAAAUGAGCUAGAACUCAUGCUUGAGCUGGAUGGUGAUUUUUUUGGGAGGAAGAAGAAGUGUGUGGGUGCAGGAAUAAGUGGAGGGGAGCCACCAUGGGCCCACGAGGCAGGGGGCGCGCCCUGGACCCUCGUGGCCAAGUGCUUGCUCCCCCGCUGUGUUCUCAGUGCCAGAUAUUCUCAAAUAUUCCAGAAAAAAUCAUAUUAAUUUGGCAGGCAUUUGGAGAACUUUUAUUUUCAGGGUAUUUUUAUAUUGCACGGAUAAUUCAGAAAACAGACAGAAAAAUCCUAUUUUUACUUUAUUUCAACUAAAUAACAGAAAGUAGAGAGAGGGUACAGAAGGUUGUGCUUCUAAUUUCAUCCAUCUCAUGCUCAUCAAAAGGAAUCCACUAACAAGGUUGAUCAGGUAUUAUUAACAAACUCACUCCGAAUAACAUGGAACCGGAGAAAUUUUGAAUAACACUAUGUUACCUCAACGGGGAUAUGCACAUCCCCAAUAAUAAGAAUAUCAUAUCUCCUUUUGACAGUAGGUAGAGGAAAUUUAAAACCUCCAAAAAUAAUCGAUGGACUUUUUCCAAUAGAAUUGAUACUGUGGACUUGAGGUUGUUUCCUCGGUAAGUGUACCGUAUGUUCAUUGCCAUUAACAUGAAAAGUGAUAUUGCCUUUGUUGCAAUCAAUAACGGCCCCUGCAGUAUUCAAAAAGGGUCUUCCAAGAAUAAUAGAUAUACUAUUGUCCUCGGGAAUAUUAAGAAUAACAAAGUCUGUUAAAAUAGUAACAUUUGCAACCCCAACAGGCACAUCCUCACAAAUACCGACAGGUAUAGCAGUUGAUUUAUCAGCCAUUUGCAAAGAUAUUUCAGUAGGUGUCAACUUAUUCAUAUCAAGUCUACAAUAUAAAGAGAGAGGCAUAACACUAAGAACCGGCUCCAAGAUCACACAAAGCAGUUUUAACAUAGUUUAUUUUAAUGGAGCAUGGUGUAGUGGGUGCUCCUGGAUCUCCUAGUUUCUUUGGUAUUCCACCCUUAAAAGUGUAAUUAGCAAGCAUGGUGGAAAUUUCAGUUUCCGGUAUCUUUCUCUUAUUAGUAACAAUUUCUUUCAUAUACUUAGCAUAAGGAUUCAUUUUGAGCAUAUCAGUUAAUCGCAUACGCAAGAAGAUAGGUCUAAUCAUUUCAGCAAAGCGCUCAAAAUCCUCGUCAUCCUUUUUCUUGGAUGGUUUGGGAGGAAAAGGCAUGGGUUUCUGAACCCAUGGUUAUCUUUCUUUACCGUGCUUCCUAGCAACAAAGUCUCUCUUGUCAUAACGUUGAUUCUUUGAUUGUGGGUUAUCAAGAUCAACAACAGGUUCAAUUUCUACAUCAUUAUCAUUGCUAGGUUGAGCAUCAACAUGAACAUAAUCAUUAACAUUAUCACUAGGUUCAUGUUCAUUACCAGAUUGUGUUUCAGCAUCAGAAAUAGAAAUAUCAUUUGGAUUCUCAGGUGGUUCAGCAAUAGGUUCACUAGAAGUAUGCAAAGUCCUAUCAUUUUUCUUUUUCUUCUUUUUAGAAGGACUAGGUGCAUCUAUAUUAUUUCUCUGAGAGUCCUGCUCAAUUCUCUUAGGAUGGCCUUCAGGAUACAAGGGUUCCUGAGUCAUUUUACCAGUUCUAGUAGCCACUCUAACAGCAUAAUCAUUAUUCUUACUAUUUAAUUCAUUGAGCAAAUCAUUCUGAGCUUUAAGUACUUGUUCUACUUGAGUGGUGACCAUAGAAUCAUGUUUACUAAUGAGUUUAAAUUCACCUUUAACUCUAGACAUAUAAUCACCCAAUUGUUCAAUCAUAUAAGCAUUUUGUUUUAAUUGUCUACCAAAAUAAGCAUUGAAAUUUUCUUCUUUAAUCAUAAAGUUAUCAAACUCAUCCAAACAUUGGCUAGCAAACUUAGUAGGAGGGAUGUCAGCUUUAUCAUAUCUAUAGAGAGAAUUUACCUCUACUACCUGUGUCGGGUUAUCAAGACCAUGUGCUUCUUCAAUAGGUGAUGAAUUAAGACCAUAUAUUUCCUCAACAGGCGGUAAAUUAAGACCAUGUAUUUCUUCAAUAGGAGGUAAAUUCUUAACAUCCUCGGCUUUAAUACCCUUUUCUUUCAUAGAUUUCUUUGCCUCUUGCAUAUCUUCAGGACUGAGAAAUAGAACACCCCUCUUCUCCGGAGUUGGUUUAGGAAUAGGUUCAGGAGUUGGCUCAGGAAGUGUCCAGUUAUUUUCAUUGGUCAACAUAUUAUUCAAUAGAAUUUCAGCUUCAUCUGGUGUUCUUUCCCUGAAAACAGAACCAGCACAACUAUCCAGGUAAUCUCUGGAAGCAUCGGUUAGUCCAUUAUAAAAGAUAUCAAGUAUUUCAUUUUUCUUAAGAGGACGAUCAGGCAAAGCAUUACGUAAUUGGAGAAGCCUCCCCCAAGAUUGUGGGAGACUCUCUUCUUCAAUUUGCACAAAAUUAUAUAUAUCCCUUAAAGCAGCUUGUUUCUUAUGAGCAGGGAAAUAUUUAGCAGAGAAGUAAUAAAUCAUAUCCUGGGGACUACGCACACAACGAGGAUCAAGAGAAUUGAACCAUAUCUUAGCAUCACCCUUUAAUGAGAACGGAAAUAUUUUAAGGAUAUAAAAGUAGUGAGUUCUCUCAUCAUUAGUGAAUAGGGUGGCUAUAUCAUUUAAUUUAGUAAGAUGUGGCACACUAGUUUCAGAUUCAUAGCCAUAAAAAGGAUCAGAUUCAACCAAAGUAAUUAUAUCAGGGUCAAUAGAGAAUUCAUAAUCCUUAUCAGUAACGAAGAUAGGUGAAGUAGCAUAAGCAGGAUCAUAUUUCAUUCUAGCAUUCAGAGUUUUUUUGUUUAAGCUUAGGUAAUAAUUUCUUAAGAUAACUUCUAUCAUUGCAAGCAAGAAAGUCCCUUUUAGUUUCUUCAUCCAUAACAUAGUCCUCGGGCACAACAGGUAAUUCAUAUUUAUUGGGAGAGCCUUGAUCAUCACUUUCAUCAAUAUUAUCGGUUUCAAUAAUUUCAUUCUCUCUAGCCCUAGCAAGUUGUUCAUCAAGAAAUUCACCAAGUGGCACAGUAGUAUCAAGCAUAGAAGUAGUUUCAUCAUAAGUAUCAUGCAUAGUAGAAGUGGCAUCAUCAAUAACAUGCGACAUAUCAGAAUUAAUAGCGGAAGCAGGUUUAGGUGUCGCAAGCUUACUCAAAACAGAAGGUGAAUCAAGUGCAGAGCUAGAUGGCAGUUCCUUACCUCCCCUCGUAGUUGAGGGAUAAAUUUUUGUUUUCUCGUCUUCCAAGUUCCUCAUAGUGACCAGCAGAUAUAAAUCCCAAGUGACUCAAAGAAUAGAGCUAUGCUCCCCGGCAACGGCGCUAGAAAAUAGUCUUGAUAACCCACAAGUAUAGGGGAUCGCAACAGUUUUCGAGGGUAGAGUAUUCAACCCAAAUUUAUUGAUUCGACACAAGGGGAGCCAAAGAAUAUUCUCAAGUAUUAGCAACUGAGUUGUCAAUUCAGCCACACCUGGAUAACUUAAUAUCUGCAGCAAAGUAUUUAGUAGCAAAGUAAUAUGGAAGUAACGGUAACGGCAGCAAAAGUAAUAUUUUUGGGUUUUGUAGUGAUUGUAACAAUAGCAACAGAAAAGUAAAUAAGCGAAGAACAAUAUGUGAAAAGCUCGUAGGCAUUGGAUCGGUGAUGGAGAAUUAUGCCGGAUGCGGUUCAUCAUGUAACAACCAUAACAUAGGGUGACACAGAACUAGCUCCAAUUCAUCAAUGUAAUGUAGGCAUGUAUUCCGAAUAUAGUCAUACGUGCUUAUGGAAAAGAACUUGCAUGACAUCUUUUGUCCUACCCUCCCAUGGCAGCGGGGUCCUAAUGGAAACUAAGGGAUAUUAAGGCCUCCUUUUAAUAGAGUACCGGACCAAAGCAUUAACACAUAGUGAAUACAUGAACUCCUCAAACUACGGUCAUCAUCGGGAGUGGUCCCGAUUAUUGUCACUUCAGGGUUGCCGGAUCAUAACACAUAGUAGGUGACUAUAGACUUGCAAGAUAGGAUCAAGAACUCACAUAUAUUCAUGAAAACAUAAUAGGUUCAGAUCUGAAAUCAUGGCACUCGGGCCCUAGUGACAAGCAUUAAGCAUAGCAAAGUCAUAGCAACAUCGAUCUCAGAACAUAGUGGAUACCAGGGAUCAAACCCUAACAAAACAAACUCGAUUACAUGAUAAAUCUCAUCCAACCCAUCACCGUCCAGCAAGCCUACGAUGGAAUUACUCACGCACGGCGAUGAGCAUCAUGAAAUUGGUGAUGGAGGAUGGUUGAUGAUGACGAUGGCAACGGAUUACCCUCUCCGAAGCCCUGAACGGACUCCAGAUCAGCCCUCCCGAGAGAGUUUAGGGCUUGGCGGCGGCUCCGUAUCAUAUAACGCGAUAAAUCUUUCUCUCUGAUUUUUUUCUCUCCGAACACGAAUAUAUGGAGUUGGAGUUGAGGUAGGUGGAGCAACAGGGGGCCCACGAGGCAGGGGGCGCGCCCAGGGGGUGCAGGCGUGCCUCCCACCCUCGUGGACAGGUGGUGGGCCCUUUGGCCUUGAUUCUUUUGCCAAUAUUUUUAAUAUUUUCCAAAAAUAAGUUCUGUGGAGUUUCAGGUCAUUCCGAGAACUUUUGUUUCUGCACAUAAAUAACACCAUGGGAAUUCUGCUGAAAACAGCGUCAGUCCAGGUUAGUUCCAUUCAAAUCAUGCAAGUUAGAGUCCAAAACAAGGGCAAAAGUGUUUGGAAAAGUAGAUACGACGGAGAUGUAUCAGUCUUCACGAUCCGACCGAUCCUAGCACCGAACGUACGGCACCUCCGUGUUUAGCAGACGUUCAGCUCGAUGACGUCCCUCGUACUCUUGAUCCAGUUGAGGUCGAGGGAGAGUUUCGUCAGCACGACGGCGUGGUGAUCAUGAUGAUGAAGUUCACCGGCGCAGGGCUUUGCCUAAGCACUAGACGAUAUGAUCAAGGUCUGUAACUGUGGAGGGGGCACCGCACACGGCAAAAAUAUCAUCUUGGCUGUCUAUGGGGUGCCCCCCUCCCCCGUAUAUAAAGGAGGGGAGGAGGAGGCCAGCCGGCCCUAGGGGGCGCACCCAAGGAGGGGAGUCCUACUAAGACUCCAAGUCCUAGUAGGAUUCCACCAAGAGGGAGAGAGGGGGAAGGAAGGAGAGAGAGAGAGAGGGAGAAGGAAAGGGGGCGCCGCCCCCUUUCCCUUGUCCAAGUCGGACUGCAAGGGGAGGGGGCGCGCGGCCUGCCCUGGCUGCCCUCCUCUCUCUCCACUAAGGCCCAUGGUGGCCCAUUAGUUCCCCCGAGGGUUCCGGUAACCCCUCCGGCACUCCGGUUUUACCCGAAACCAUCCUGAACACUUCCGGUGUCCGAAUAACAUGGUCCAAUAUAUCAAUCUUUAUGUCUCGACUAUUUCGAGACUCCUCGUCACGUCCGUGACCUCAUCCGGGACUCCGAACAACCUUCGGUCGUCAAAUCACAUAAACUCAUAAUACAAAUCGUCAUCGAACGUUAAGCUUGCGGACCCUACGGGUUCGAGAACUAUGUAUACAUGAUAGAGACACAUCUCCGGUCAAUAACCAAUAGCGGAACAUGAAUGCUCAUAUUGGCUCCUACAUAUUGUACGAAGAUCUUUAUCGGUCAAACCGCAUAACAUCAUACGUUGUUCCCUUUGUCAUCGGUAUGUUACUUGCCCAAGAUUCGAUCGUCGGUAUCACCAUACCUAGUUCAAUCUCGUUACCGGCAAGUCUCUUUACUCGUUUCGUAAUGCAUCAUCCCGCAACUAACUCAUUAGUCACAUUGCUUGCAAGGCUUAUAGUGAUGUGCAUUACCGAGAGGGCCCAGAGAUACCUCUCCGACAAUCGGAGUGACAAAUCCUAAUCUCGAUCUAUGCCAACUCAACAAACACCUUCGGAGACAACUGUAGAGCAUCUUUAUAAUCACCCAGUUACGUUGUGACGUUUGAUAGCACACUAAGUGUUCCUCCGGUAUUCGGGAGUUGCAUAAUCUCAUAGUCAUAGGAACAUGUAUAAGUCAUGAAGAAAGCAAUAGCAAUAAACUAAACGAUCAUAGUGCUAAGCUAACGGAUGGGUCUUGUCCAUCACAUCAUUCUCUAAUGAUGUGAUCUAGUUCAUCAAAUGACAACACAUGUCUAUGGCUAGGAAACUUAACCAUCUGUAACAUCCCAAUUUUCAAUUUGGAUGUUAUACAUAGGUCAUCAUAUGCAUAUCAUUUUUUAUCUGCAUUUUUGGUUGUGAUCCUAGAAAUCUUAAGCAACUCAAGGACCCAAGGAGAGAGUUGCGGAUUUCAUUUUUUUCAUAUUUCAAUUUUCUCAAAUUUGAAAAGAGGAUCAAUUUGGUUUUAAUAAUUUUUUCUCUCCAAAUAUUUCUUAUAUUAAAACAAAACAGAGAAGAUAAUAUGACUUCUUCAAAGAGAGAGGAAUAUUGGAGGAAAAAUUUUAAAAUCAAAUAAAUAUUUUAUUUGGAUUUUAUUGCUUUUUUAUUUGAAUUAGAAAAAUAUGCAUUUUUUAAAAUUGCAUUUUUAGGCCAGAAAAAUGUUCACUUUGUUCUAAAUAUUUUAUUUAGACGGUGAAAAUUGUUUUUGGCAUUUUUAGAAUUUUUUUUAUUUUAUUAGGAUUUUCUUGGGUGGAAAUUUUUUUUUAGUUUCCGCCCGACUGGGCCGAAGGCCCAGCCGCGCCGCCUCCCACGCCGACUCGGGACGAGAGUCCCGAGGUUCGCCGCCGCCGUCACCGUGUCCGGCUCGGACACGAGCCGCCGCCGCCUCCUCCCGCAAGGCCAGCCCCCCGGCCCCUUUAUAUAUCGCCCCCCUCUCCUCCCCAAGCCGCCGCCGCCGCUCCCGCUGCACGCCGCCCCGCGCCGCCGGAGCCGCCGCCCCGCACCAACGCUGCCACCCGUGCCGGAUCCCGCCGGAGCCACCGCCCGCCGCCGUUGACCUGCCGCACGUUGACCGUUAUAAAAACUACUCCGGUUCGCCCGUUCACUUCAGUUUUCUCGGUUUUUCUUGAUCGGAUCUUUUUAGCGAACGUUCACCUGAACGCCUCUGUUCGCGAACACGUUCGUUCGUUCGUGUCUGAUAGCGAACGUUCGUUUGUUAGUCUUUUCUUUUUAUUUUAUUUUCAGCCAGGACCUAUCCGCGAUUAUUUUUAUCACAGAUUAGCCCCUAAUCUUCAAACCCUCGCAACUUCUUGCGCGUUUAUCCAAAUCCAGUGAAACCAACGCCAAAAUCUACGUCUCGAACCCCUCUUUAGAGUUAAUCAACUUGAACAUGGUUUUUAAAAAUUAAAAUUUGGUUUCAGGCAGAUUUGAAUUCGAACUUCUGUUGAUCGUAGUUUGAGUUUUCUAGCUCCGAUUUGAUUGAUUAUUUUUGCGAAUCGAAGCUCUUCAGUUGAUCUUUCAGUUGGGAUCUUUUAUUUGAGUUUUACCUUUGCAUCUAUGCUUGAGUGCUUAUGUAUGCUAUCGUUUUUUUGCGAUAGAAUUUCCGCAGUGCGAAGCGUGCUACUACGAGUCACUAGGGUUUUCAGAUCGUCAGCAAGGCAAGUAAUACUUUGAUCAUGCCCCUUUAUUACCCAGUUUUUAUGCAUUAGUUAUACCCCUCAAACAUUGCAUGGUUAGGAUGUGUUAACAUAUGGGUAUUGGGAAGUAGUUGAUGAGGUAGAACCUAUUGUCUUUAUAUCAAACCCUGGGAGUUUACUUCUACAUUAUGCUUACACUGCUAUGCUAUGCUCGUAGACGUGGAUUGGUUGAGUGUAUCCAUGACAGAUGUGAGAGUUGUUAAUGAAUGGUUAACUUAAGGUGGCUACUUUAAUACACAUCUGGGUGGAUUGGUUGAGGCUCCCUGGAGCACCCAGUGGUUGCCUGGGCACCUGGAGCAAUCCAGCGCUGUCCUGGGAUAUCCCGGAGUACCCGUGUGAUCAUCCUGUGGUUCGCCACCAACGCUCAAAGGGAUCAUAAGAUUAUUCAUGCUAGAAACUUCCGUGUGCAGCCACAAGCCAUUAUGGGCUCUGGCAUAGUUGAGUAAGUUUUGGGAAACCUUUCCAUGAUGGGCUAGCAGAUGUAGGGGAUUGUAGGCGUACCGGCCUAUCUAUCGGUUAAGGGGACCUCUUUGGAAAGACUGUGUCUCGGUCAUCCAUUUCUCAAACACCAUGCAGUGCGAGAAAUACAAUGGAGGAGAUCGAGUCUUGUGGGUAAAAGUGCGCAAACCUCUGGAGAGUGUACAAACUAAUCAUGGUUAGCCGUGUCCCCGGUUAUGGACAUCUUGAGUAUCUGGUUCUGAAUUAUUGAUUUGAUCUCAUCACUCUUUUAAUUAACUUGUUGGGUUAUUAAUAUUUGUUUAAUUGGGAUUGAGUUGGAGGAACCUUCUUAAUAUUUUAUCAACCAACUUUGUAGCUAAAUAAAAUAUAUUCCUUUGGAGUAGGGAAAAAUUGACUUUACGCAAACAUGAAAACAAUAGAGCCUCCACCAGCCAUAUAUGCAUGUAGAUAUAGUUGUUAUCUUGUUCAUUGCUCUACAGUGUUAUUUUUCCAGCAUAUUCCAUGUGCUGACCCGUUUCGGGCUGCAACGUAUUAUGUUGCAGACUUUUCAGACGAAGAGUAAGGUGCGCUAGGUAGUUGUCGUGCACUCAGCUAUGCCAUUGGAGUUGAUGGACUCAUUUACCUUCGAUGCUUCCGUAGUUAUCUUAUUUAGAUGGCCUUAAGCCAUAUUAUUGUAAUAAGUUCUCUUUUGAGACAUUCGAUGUAAUAAGUGUGUGAUUGCACUUUGUUAUAAAUCCUUCAAGUACUGUGUGUGUCAGCAUUACCGAUCCAGGGAUGCCACUUAUGCACAGAGAUUUGACCAUUUGAGGUCGUGUCGCUACAAGAUGGUAUCAGGGCACACGCUGACUGUAGGACGCGACCACUAAGAUAAGCCAUAGGUCACUCUUCUCUACUCAUUCUAACUCUCCUCCAUUUUCCACUCUAUAGAUGGCGGACCCGAGGAACAAGUUUGCUCAACCGGAUGAAGACACACCAUUUGGACGACACUUGAAGGAAGUCACUAGGUACCUGAACAUCGGAAUACCAAGCUUCACCGGGACCUACACCGCCACUUUACCAGAAGAGGAGUGUUGGAUGAUUCGAGUUCAUGUUCCAGGAAGGACAUUCACGCCAGUUACCGAGCCCAUAGAGUUUUCCUUUGAUGCACCGACCUGGAGUCUAGGAAAGAGCAUGGCAGUCCACAUCGCCAUGGGACGCAUCGGCGAAGUACAUAACAAGGAUCUUAAGGACACCAUCUACCAGAUAUGUGGGCGCCGAGAUGAGCAAUGGGAGAUGAUCAGCACCAGGAGGGACAAGUCCAUUGCAGCUUUCAUCCAGGAGUUAAACCAGCAUAUUCGCCGCCAGGAGAACCAAAUGUGCGCCAACAUGAUAGAUCUAAAGAAGGUGAUGACCAGGAACAUGGAGCUUGAAGAGGAACUCAAGUCUACACGCGAUGGAUAUGAGGAGGAAAUCGUAGUGCUACUGGAGAAGAAUGAAGACCUAAGAAGAAGCUAGGAGUAUUCAUGGGAGACCCCGCGCCAGGAGAUGACGACCAUCCCGAGGACUACGUCAUCAUCGACGACACCGACCCCAACCCCAAUAGUAGUGAUGAUGAUUAUGAAGACGAAGCUGGAGCGGAUAUCAUGGAGUCUUCCACCGAUCAAAAUUUCUAGUCGACCACCAUAUUAUCAGUAGUAUUCCCCCAUGUAUAUAGUAGUAGUCCGAGUAUUUUGUAACGGUAGCUAGAUCGAUUGUAUGCCCUUGUUUGAAUUGACUGGUGUGAUAUGAAUGUGUUUGUUUCAUGUGCAUAUGGGUAGUGCUUUCUCUUUAGACCUCAUUCUAUUCUAAUCUCUCCCUCUAAACCCAUCAGAUGCCUCCGAGAUGUGACCCCGGAUUUGUCUUCCCACCGGAGCUCACUCAGUUGAUCCAACAACAGAAUGCCUUGAUGCAGUUGCUAGUCCAGAACCAAGGCAACAACAACGACAACAACAACAACAACAACCCACAGCCACCACCCCUAGUUGACAACUUAGCCUGUUUUCUGAGGUUGAAUCCACCGGUGUUUUCUAGUAGCACCGAGCCGAUAGUUGCAGAUGGUUGGCUAUGCAGGAUAGGAAGGGAGUUGACCACCGCAGGUUGCACAGAUGUUGAGAAGGUGCGUUUUGCCGCACACCAACUGGAUGGACCUGCAGCUUCAUGGUGGGAGAAUUACACAACCACUUUUCCCAUAGCCAAUGUCACAUGGGUUCAGUUUCAGCAAGCGUUCCGCACAGCCCAUGUCUCAACUGGAGCUAUGAACAUGAAGAAGCAUGAGUUUCGCAACUUACGCCAGGGAAAUCGUACUGUGGGUGUCGGAGUAAUAGGCAACGGAUACCCCGAAGACGGCGAGACAAUAAUUCAAGACAUCGGGGCUAGCAAAGCCCCUCAGUCCGACUGCCCGGCUGCUCCUGCCGGCUCCCCGUCCGACUGCUCUGCCCGGUCGACCAGCCGGCUGCCGACUGCGCCAACCAGCCGGCUGCCGGCUGCAGCCUGACCCGACACCAACAAGACACCGACGUGACGGCCAUACCGCGGACGAGACGGCUGUACCGCGACGACAUCAUCUACAGUGUAUCUGUCCUUGGGCACUGUUUUAUAAAGUGCACCAGGGACAAGGAGGCAUGCACAUCACGUCCACACCAUCAUGGGCAUGGUGCCCCAUGCCCACUUGCCUCCCACGCCACUACCUAGCUUAGGUAGUAAGCUAGCUCACCUAUAUAUAUGCCACCCAUCCAUCCAUCCACUCCAGGCUCACACACACGCAUGCAUCCAUGCCCACUCACGGUGGAGCUCUCUCAUGCCCACUUGUUAGCUAGCUCAUACACAUAUAUGAGACAUAUACAAAGCCAGAUGCCUAUGACACUGAGCUCAGAUACAGCUCCAGGAGCAACUCUGUACCAGAUAUACUACAGAUACUCAGACAUGCAGGAGUAAGGGUAUUAUCUCUCCGGAGAGCCCCGAACCUGGGUAAACUAGCGCGUGCUACUCGCAUACCCGCUCCCGGGCCUAUCAGUAGCAGUCUUACCCUCACACUAAGCCCUUGUGGCAUCUGUCGACUCGCAAGCCCCCCAUGAGAAUACCACGACAGUUGGCGCCCACCGUGGUGUGGUACUACUACUCUGCUACCACGCUGCUGCUGGUUUCACUGUCCGGGCGGGACCAUUUUCGUCUUCACCGCCGCGGCAUCGCGCCGUCUCUCCGAUAGCGGUCGGGGGCUCAACAUCGACAUGCCCCCGGAGUGGCCGCAAGGGGCGGCGUGCCCUCGCCGUCGGCUUUGCCAUCUUCGUCGUCACCGCGGCGUCGUCGUCGUCUCUCCGGUGGUGCUCGGGGGCUCGACUUCGACCCGCCCCCGGAGCGGCCGCGCGGGAUGGCGCGUCCUUGUCGUCGGCCUCGCCGCCUUCGUUAUCACCACCGUUGCAACGCCGGCCAUCUGACCCCGCGCGCGCGGGGCCUAGCUUCGGUCGGCCGUGUCCAUCCACGCGCCGCUCGCGUCGGCUCCCUUCCGCGCUGCGCCUUGCUCUGGCCGGAACGCGCAUUGGCUCUUCCACAUGCCAUCUAUGCAAGCUAGCUAGAUGCAAGUCAAACCAUUAGCCAAACACACCCCAGAUAAUGACCAUAUAUCGGUCAGACGAUGGCCGGACGUUGCACGUACUCCGGCUGCCUGUCACGACUCCAGCCCCCUGCGAGUCCGCUGCUCUCUGCGCCGCCGCCAACUGCUACUACUGCCUGCUGCUGCGAGCGCCGCUGCCGCUCCCACCCCCAGGCAGGCAGCACGGCUCCCCGAGCGGGCCUGGCCCCUGCGUGCUGCUCCGCCUCGUCCCACGCCAUGGCUGCCGCGCGUCUCAAGCCCCGCGCUGCUCCUUCCUGCAACCGGCGCGCCAUCGCCACCUGCUCCUGCUGCGGUCCGGCGUCUCGCCUCGUCCCGCGACCCGGACAGCCGCCGCUAGCGUGCCACCGGCCUGCGCGCCACUCCGCCGCUGCUCCUCUCCCGCGCCCCCGUCCGGCUCCGCGUGACCCAGGACGUCCGCCGCCGGCUCGUCGCCGCUCCGUCCGGCGUCCCGCAUCUCGGACACCCCUGCGCCGGCUCCCGCACAGCCCGGCCGGCUCCCUCCACCCGGCCGCGGCUCCUCCCGCCACUCGGCGUCCGACCUCCCGGAUCGCCCCCGCCGGCUCCGUCCAUCCACCUGGCCCCGCUUCCCCANNNNNNNNNNNNNNNNNNNNNNNNNNNNNNNNNNNNNNNNNNNNNNNNNNNNNNNNNNNNNNNNNNNNNNNNNNNNNNNNNNNNNNNNNNNNNNNNNNNNNNNNNNNNNNNNNNNNNNNNNNNNNNNNNNNNNNNNNNNNNNNNNNNNNNNNNNNNNNNNNNNNNNNNNNNNNNNNNNNNNNNNNNNNNNNNNNNNNNNNNNNNNNNNNNNNNNNNNNNNNNNNNNNNNNNNNNNNNNNNNNNNNNNNNNNNNNNNNNNNNNNNNNNNNNNNNNNNNNNNNNNNNNNNNNNNNNNNNNNNNNNNNNNNNNNNNNNNNNNNNNNNNNNNNNNNNNNNNNNNNNNNNNNNNNNNNNNNNNNNNNNNNNNNNNNNNNNNNNNNNNNNNNNNNNNNNNNNNNNNNNNNNNNNGGGCCGACUGCCGCGCCCAGCCGCCUGCCGGCUACAACGUGGCCGGUUGCUUGUGCAAAAGGGAAAAGGUCGGGUCCCCAGCCGGCCGCUGCUAAAAAAGAAAAGAGAGAGAGAGAGAGAGAGAGAGAGAGAGAGAGAAAGGGUCGAGUGCCCAAUCCGGCUGAAAAAGUCAAUGGCCGGCUGCUAGAAAAAAAUAAUUUUGUGUGCAUCCGGCUGCCUAGAUCCGGCCGAAGAAAAUGUCGGGUGCCCACGGUUGACUGGCAAAAAAAAGAGAGAGAGAGAAAGAAGUCGGCUGGGACAAAGAGAAGAAAAGAAACACCCGUCCGGAUGAUUCGUCCGCCUGCUUCGCCACUCGGACGGUCAGUCGUGACCCGCGUUGUCGGCAGUGCCAAGCCGACUGGUCUGCCUCCUGCUCCGACGGCACACCCAGCGGGUGCGCUGACGCGCCCCUGCGAAGAGAAGAGAAAGUAGUUGCCGGGAGAUCCGGCCUGACUGCUCAGCAGUCGGCCCGAAUCUCGGGGGCUACACCCAGCGGGUGCGCUGACGCGCCCCCGCGAAGAAGAAGACAAAGUAGUCGCCGGGAGAUCCGGCCUGACUGCUCAGUAGUCGGCCCGAAUCUCGGGGGCUACACCCAGCGGGUGCGCUGACGCGCCCCCGCGAAGAAGAAGACAAAGUAGUCGCCGGGAGAUCUGGCCCAACUGCUCAGCAGUCGGCCCGAAUCUCGGGGGCUACACCCAGCGGGUGCGCUGACGCGCCCCCGCGAAGAAGAAGAAAAAGUAGUUGCCGGAAGAUCCGGUCCGACUGCUCAGCAGUCGGCCUGAAUCUCGGGGGCUACACCCAGUGGGUGCGCUGGCGCGCCCCCAUGGAAGAUUGCAAGAAACAAAAACAAGAGAAGAAAGAAGAAAAAGGGCGCUGGCAGACGCCUCGCCGCCUGGCCGGCUGUGCCAAGCCGGCUCGGCCGCAUUCCGCUCGCUGCCUGGCCGGUCAGGCCCGACCGGCUGGACCCUCCUCGAGUGCCUAGAGGCUCGAGGGCUACACCCAGCCGGUGCGCCGACGCGCUCCGCGAGCGCCGAGCGGCGCCGGCUGUUUUCGACGACCUCCGCCUCGGCUGCACGAAAAUCAAUGUGAGCUCCUCACCCGCAUAUUUUUGCACCACGCAAGCACGGAUAACCCCGAGCGAUGCUCGGGGGACUAUCUCCGCAUUUUAUUACAGUUGCAGCACUGUUCGCCCCGGCGCCAGCCAGAGUUGGCCCGGGGGCUGGCCGCUUUACCUGAGACGUUUGUUCCCGCAGACAGCUUAGUAGCGUGCGCGGUACCAAAGGCCCACUCUUAGUCACAGACCGCAGAGCGGCUGUCCGGCUAGCAAGAGUGAACGCUGGAGGCCACCCACGCGAAAAAACGUCCGGGGAGAAAAACGGUUCGGGCGACCCGGCCGUUUUCUUUAUGAGUAUCUGCUCGCUUAAAUUCGCUCCCAGAGUCUGAGUAUUGUACACUCCACUCCGCGGCCCACUCUCAGCCACAGACCGCAGAGCGACUGUCCAGCAAGCGAGAGCACAAGCCAAAGAGCGGAGGGAACACGAAAAAGAUUGAAGGGGGCUCGGACGAAACCGAGUCGGCACCCUCCGCAUAAAACUUGCAAUGCUAAAAGCAAUCAUUUGAUAUAUCUGCGUGGACUAACUUUGUCUUUUUGCAUGAUCAUUUCCAUGAACACCCGCCAAAAAACCUCCGCCCAACUUUGCCAAGUUGCCCGGAGGCUUGGGGCUACUGUCGGAGUAAUAGGCCACGGAUACCCCCAAGAUGGCGAGACAAUAAUUCAAGACAUCGGGGCUAGCAAAGCCCCUCAGUCCGACUGCCCGGCUGCUCCUGCCGGCUCCCCGUCCGACUGCUCUGCCCGGCCGACCAGCCGGCUGCCGACUGCAGCCUGACCCGACACCAACAAGACACCGACGUGACGGCCAUACCGCGGACGAGACGGCUGUACCGCGACGACAUCAUCUACAGUGUAUCUGUCCCUGGGCACUGUUUUAUAAAGUGCACCAGGGACAAGGAGGCAUGCACAUCACGUCCACACCAUCAUGGGCAUGGUGCCCCAUGCCCACUUGCCCCCCACGCCACUACCUAUUUAGGUAGUAAGCUAGCUCACCUAUAUAUAUGCCACCCAUCCAUCCAUCCACUCCAGGCUCACACACACGCAUGCAUCCAUGCCCACUCACGGUGGAGCUCUCUCAUGCCCACUUGUUAGCUAGCUCAUACACAUAUAUGAGACAUAUACAAAGCCAGAUGCCUAUGACACUAAGCUCAGAUACAGCUCCAGGAGCAACUCUGUACCAGAUAUACUACAGAUACUCAGACAUGCAGGAGUAAGGGUAUUAUCUCUCCAGAGAGCCCCGAACCUGGGUAAACUAGCGCGUGCUACUCGCAUACCCGCUCCCGGGCCUAUCAGCAGCAGUCUUACCCUCAUACUAAGCCCUUGUGGCAUCUGUCGACUCGCAAGCCCCCCAUGAGAAUACCACGACAGUGGGGCAGUACAUGGAUGAGUUCAGUAAGUUAGCUCGCUAUGCCCCGGAUGAUGUGGCCACAAAUGCCGCGAAGCAGGAGAAGUUUAUGGAAGGGCUAAAUGAUGAGAUGAGUAUGCAGCUGAUGGUAGCAACAUUUGCUAACUAUCAGGGGUUGGUAGACAGGGCCCUUAUGAUUGAAGGGAAGCAGCAGCAGAUAGAGAGCCGCAAAAGGAAGUAUGGACAAGGGAAAUACAAUUCAGGAGCUCAAUAGAGACCUCAUUUUACCCCAAACUCGGGAGGAUAUACCCAUAACCAUGGAGGCCACACUCACAAUGGAGGAAGUUCGCAUAACCAUAGUGGCCCCAAGAAUGGGAAUGGGAAUGGAGGAAGCAGCAGCCAGAACCGUUCCAACCCCUCUACACCCGCCAAAAAUGAUCUAAGUCACAUUACUUGUUUUAGGUGCGGGAAGACUGGACACUACGCCACCGAGUGUUUUGAAGCCAAUUAUGGAAAUGGCAAUGGAAGCUCUAGGAAGAAGCCCAACCCUUUCAUCUGGGGACAGGUGAACCACGUUAACAUGGAGGAGGUUGAAGAACAGCCGGACACAUUUAUAGGUAAGUUUUUGAUUAAGUCAUUUAUUGCAAUCGUUCUUUCUGAUACUGGUGCAUCACAUUCAUACAUAUCAAGGGGGUUUGUGGAUAAGUAUAAGUUGCCCACCAAAGUUCUUAAGACACCUAUGUUAGUAAGCUCGCCAGGAGCGGAGUAUAUGGCAAGCAGAGGAUGUUUUCAGAUGCCAUUGACCAUAGGUAGGCAUGUUUUCCCCUCGGACCUAAUAAUUCUGGAGUCACAAUGAUUGGAUGUGAUACUAGGCAUGGAUUGGCUAUCGAUGUAUGGAGGAAACAUCGAUUGCGCCAGUAAGUCUAUUCUUCUCACCACCCCAAAGGGUAAACGGAUUAAGUAUGUGUCUCGGCAUGCGCCGAGGAGGACCCAAGUAAACUCGCUCUCAGGAGUCGUUCAGGAGGAAGUGCCCAUUGUGAAGGAUUACCCGGAUGUAUUUCCAAAGGAAUUACCAGGCAUGCCGCCAGAUCGAGACAUAGAGUUUUUGAUAGAACUGUUGCCAGGCACCGGACCAAUAUCAAAGGGACCAUACCGGAUGCCCGCAAAUGAUCUGGAGGAAAUUAAGAAGCAAUUAAGGAGUUAUUGGAGAAAGGUUACACUCGACGAAGUUCGUCACCGUGGGGAGCCCUAGUGCUCUUGGUUGAGAAGAAGGAUGGAUCUUUGAGAAUGGUUGUUGAUUAUCGUGCUUUGAAUGAAGUAACGAUCAAGAACAAGUACCCACUACCGAUGAUCAACGAUUUGUUUGACCAGCUGCAAGGAGCUAAAGUAUUCUCCAAGAUCAAUCUGCGAUCAGGAUACCAUCAGCUAAAGAUCCGAGAGCAUGAUAUACCUAAGACAGCUUUCACUACAAGGUAUGGGCUAUAUGAGUACACAGUCAUGUCAUUUGGAUUGACCAAUGCCCCCGCCUAUUUCAUGAGUAUGAUGAAUAGGGUGUUCAUGGAGUUCUUGGAUAAGUUUGUUGUGGUGUUCCUUGAUGAAAUUUUGGUAUACUCGAAGAAUGAAGAGGAGCACAAGGAGCAUUUGCGUUUAGUUCUCGAGAAACUCAGGGAACAUCAGCUAUAUGCCAAGUUCAGCAAAUGCGAGUUUUGGUUGAAGGAAGUUGGAUUCCUUGGACAUGUUAUAUCAGGAGAGGGUAUAGAAGUAGACCCUAGCAAGGUUAAAUCUGUUACCGAGUGGUUGGCACCCACCUCAGUAGGAGAGAUCCGCAGUUUUCUUGGACUCGCGGGAUAUUACCGGAGAUUCAUUGAGAAUUUUUCCAAGAUUGCGAAGCCCAUGACAGAGUUGUUGAAGAAGGACACCAAGUUCAAAUGGACAGAAGAUUGUGAGGCUAGUUUUCAGGAGUUGAAGAAAUGUUUGGUUACAUCACCAGUGCUAAUUCUGCCGGAUAUACACAAGGGUUUCCAAGCGUAUUGCGACGCUUCUCGCCAAGGACUUGGAGGUGUACUUAUGAAGGACGGAAGAGUUGUUUCAUAUGCCUCACGACAGCUUCGACCGCAUGAGUUGAAUUAUGCCCCACAUGAUUUGGAGUUAGCAGCCGUAGUGCAUGCGCUCAAGACCUGGAGACAUUUUCUUAUUGGAAACCGUGGUGAUGUGUACACGGAUCACAAGAGUUUGAAGUACAUUUUCACUCAGAAGGAGCUAAACCUCAGGUAGAGGAGAUGGUUGGAGCUUAUAAAGGAUUAUGAUAUGAAGCUGCAUUAUCAUCCAGGAAAGGCCAAUGUCGUAGCAGACACUUUGAGCCGGAAGAGUUAUGUCAAUACCCUCAUAAGUGGAGGAUUACCGCAGGAGUUAGUUGACGAUCUCAAGGAACUUCGUUUGGAGAUAGUUCCAAGAGGUUUUGUUGCAGCAAUGGAGGUUCAGUCUACAUUAUUGGGAAAGAUCCGAGAAGCUCAAAGGGAUGAUAAGGAGAUUGCUGAGAUAAAGGAGAAGAUGAGAAAAGGAAAAGCCAAAGGUUUUCGUGAGGAUAAGCACGAAACUUUAUGGUUUGAGGAUCGUGUUUAUGUGCCCAAUAAUGCGGAGAUCAGGAAGUUAAUACUUCAGGAGGCUCAUGAUUCGCCAUACUCGAUUCACCCCGGAAACAACAAGAUGUACUUGGAUUUGAAGGAGCGUUUCUGGUGGACAGGUAUGAAGAAGGAUAUUGUCGAGUAUGUUGCCGUAUGUGAUGUAUGUCAGAGAGUGAAGGCAGAACAUCAAAAGCCAGCACGAUUGCUACAGCCUAUGCCGAUACCCGAAUGGAAGUGGGACAAGCUUGGCAUGGAUUUCAUCACUGGAUUACCCAGGACCCGAUCAGUAUAUGAUUCUAUCUGGGUAGUAGUUGAUCGCUUGACCAAAGUGGCUCACUUUAUCCCAGUAAAAACCACUUACACGAGUGCGAAGUUGGCCAAGAUAUAUAUGACCAGGAUUGUAUGUCUGCACGGAGUUCUGAGGACCAUCAUAUCAGAUAGAGGAACACAGUUUACUUCAAAGUUUUGGAAUCAGUUGCACCAGACUUUGGGUACCAGGCUAGAGUUUAGUACAGCCUUUCAUCCGCAGACAGAUGGACAGACCGAGAGAGUCAAUCGGAUUCUGGAGGACAUGUUGAGAGCUUGUGCAUUAGACUAUGGAUCCAGUUGGGAUGGUAAUUUGCCCUACGCAGAGUUCUCAUACAACAACAGUUAUCAAGCUAGUUUGAAGAUGGCACCUUUCGAAGCUUUGUAUGGAAGAAGGUGCAGGACACCAUUAAUGUGGGAUGAAGUUGGAGACCGUCAGUUGUUUGGACCUGAUUUUAUCAAGGAGUCUGAAGAGAAGGUUAAGUUAAUUCGAGACAGACUGAAAGUAGCUCGGUCCAGGAAGAAGAGUUAUGCAGACACCAAACGCAAGGAGGUAGUCUACGAAAUCGGAGAUAGAGCAUAUCUUCGUGUGUCACCUCUGCGAGGAGUUAAACGAUUUGGAGUUAAGGGAAAGUUAGCCCCGAGAUUUGUAGGACCAUACCGAGUUUUGGAGCCUAUGGGAGAAGUGGCCUACAAGUUGGAGUUACCCGAAGGAUUGUCAGGAGUUCAUGAUGUGUUUCACAUUUCCCAGCUGAAGAAGUGCCAUGCAGAGAUGGUCGAUAUUCCUCUGAGAGAUACAGUGCCCCUGGAAGCCAUUCAGUUGGAUAGUGAUCUGGCCUACGAGGAGAAGCCCGUCAAGAUUCUCGAAUUUGCCAACCGAGUUACACGCAGCAAGGUUAUCAAGUUUUGCAAAGUUCAGUGGAGCCACCAUACCGAGGAUGAAGCCACCUGGGAACGAGAAGAAGACCUACGGAAAGACCACCCACACCUAUUUUCUAGCCAACCCGAUUCUCGAGGGCGAGAUUCAUCUUAAGGGGGGUAGGUUUGUAACAUCCCAAUUUUCAAUUUGGAUGUUAUACAUAGGUCAUCAUAUGCAUAUCAUCUUUUCUAUCUGCAUUUUUGGUUGUGAUCCUAGAAAUCUUAAGCAACUCAAGGACCCAAGGAGAGAGUUGGGGAUUUCAUUUUUUUCAUAUUUGAAUUUUCUCAAAUUUGAAAAGAGGAUCAAUUUGGUUUUAAUAAUUUUUUCUCUCCAAAUAUUUCUAAUAUUAAAAUAAAAGAGAGAAGAUAAUAUGACUUCUUCAAAGAGAGAGGAAUAUUGAAGGAAAAGUUUUAAAAUCAAAUAAAUAUUUCAUUUGGAUUUUAUUGCUAUUUUAUUUGAAUUAGAAAAAUAUGCAUUAUUUACAAUUGCAUUUUUAGGCUAGAAAAAUGUUCACUUUGUUCUCAAUAUUUUAUUUAGACGGUGAAAAUUGUUUUUGGCAUUUUUAGAUUUUUUUAUUUUAUUAGGAUUUUCUUCGGCGGAAAUUUUUAUUUAAAAAAAGUUUCCGCCCGACUGGGCCGAAGGCCCAGCCGAGCAGGCCGGCCCAGCCGCGCCGCCUCCCCCGCCGACUCGGGACGGGAGUCCCGAGGUUCGCCGCCGCCGUCAUCGUGUCCGGCUCGGACACGAGCCGCCGCCGCCUCCUCCCGCAAGGCAAGCCCCCCGGCCCCUUUAUAUAUCGCCGCCCCGCCGCCCUCUCCUCCCCAAACCGCCGCCGCCGCCCCACACCAACGCCGCCGCCCGCGCCGGGUCCCGCCGGAGCCGCCGCCCGCCGCCUGCUGACCGGUAUAAAAACCGCUCCGGUUCACCGGUUCACUUCGGUUUUUCUCGGUUUUUCUCGAUCGGAUCGUCUUAGCGAAUGUUCACCCGAAUGCCUCUAUUCGCGAACACGUUCGUCCGUUCGUCUCUGAUAGAGAACGUCCGUUUUUUAGUCUUUUCUUUUUAUUUUACUUUCGGCCAGGGACCUAUCCGUGAUUAUUUUUAUCGCAGAUUAGCCCCUGAUCUUCAAACCCUCGCAACUUCUUGCUCGUUUAUCCAAAUCCAGUGAAACCAACGCCAAAAUUUCCGUCUCGAACCCCUCUUUCCAGUUAAUCAACUUGAACAUGGUUUUGACUAACUAAAAUUUGGUUUCAAGCGGAUUUGAAAUCGAACUUCUUUUGAUCGCAUUUGAGUUUUGUAGCUCCGAUUUGAUUGAUUCUUUUUGAGAAUCGAAGCUCUUCAGUUGAAAUUUCAGUUGGGAUCUUUUAUUUGAGUUUUACCUUUGCAUAUAUGCUUGAGUGCUUAUGUAUGCUAUUGUUUGUUUGCGAUAGAAUUACCGGAGUGCGAAGCGUGCUAGUACGAGUCACUAGGGUUUUCAGAUCGUCAGCAAGGCAAGUAACACUUUGAUAAUGCCCCUUUAUUACCCAGUUUUUAUGCAUUAGUUAUACCCCUCAAACAUUGCAUGGUUAGGAUGUGUUAACAUGUGGGUAUUGGGAAGUAGUUGAUGAGGUAGAACCUAUUGUCUUUAUAUCAAACCCCGGGAGUUACUUCUACAUUAUGCUUAUACUGCUAUGCUAUGCUCGUAGACAUGGAUUGGUUGAGUGUAUCCAUGACAGAUGUGAGAGUUGUUAAUUAAUGGUUAACUUAAUGUGGCUACUUUAAUACACAUCUGGGUGGAUUGGUUGAGGCACCCUGGAGCACCCAGUGGCUGUCUGGGCACCUGGAGCAAUCCAGCGCUGUCCUGGGAUAUCCCGGAGUACCCGUGUGAUCAUCCUAUGGUUCGCCACCCAGGCUCAAAGGGAUCAUAAGAUUAUUCAUGCUAGAAACAUCCGGGUGCAUCCACAAGCCAUUAUGGGCUCUGGCAUAGUUGAGUAAGUUUUGGGAAACCUUUCCAUGAUGGGCUAGCAGAUGUAGGGGAUUGUAGGCGUACCGGCCUAUCUAUCGGUUAAGGGGACCUCUUCGGAAAGACUGCGUCUCGGUCAUCCAUUUCUCAAACACCAUGCAGUGCGAGAAAUACAACGGAGGAGAUCGAGUCUUGUGGGGAAAAGUGCGCAAACCUCUGUAGAGUGUACAAACUAAUCAUGGUUAGCCGUGUCCCCGGUUAUGGACAUCUUGAGUAUCUGGUUCUGAAUUAUUGAUUUGAUCUCAUCACUCUUUUAAUUAACUUGUUGGGUUAUUAAUAUUUGUUUAAUUGUGAUUGAGUUGGAGGAACCUUUUGUUGGGGAAUGUAGUAAUUUCAAAAUUUUCCUACGCACACGCAAGAUCAUGGUGAUGCAUAGCAACGAGAGGGGAGAGUGUUGUCCACGUACCCUCGUAGACCAAAAGCAGAAGUGUUAUGACAACGCGAUUGAUGUAGUCGUACGUCUUCACGAUCGACCGAUCCUAGUACCGAACGUACGGCACCUCCGCGAUCUGCACACGUUCAGCUCGGUGACGUCCCGCGAACUCACGAUCCAGUAGAGUGUCGAGGGAGAGCUUCGUCAGCACGACGGCGUGAUGACGGUGAUGAUGAAGGUACCGGCGCAGGGCUUCGCCUAAGCACUACGACAAUAUGACUGAGGUGGAUUAUGGUGGAGGGGGGCACUGCACACGGCUAAGAGAUCAAUGAUCAACUUGUGUGUCUCUGGGGUACCCCCUCCCCCGUAUAUAAAGGAGUGGAGGAGGGGGAGGGCCGACCCUCCACUAUGGCGCGCCCUGGGGAGUCCUACUCCCGGUGUUCCCCCUUCCAUGUAGUAGGAGUAGGAGAGAAGGAAGGAGGAGAGAGGGUGAAGGAAAGGGGGGCGCCCCCCCCCCCUUCCUAGUCCAAUUCGGACCAGAGGGUGAGGGGCGCGCGGCCUGCCCUGGCCGCCCCUGUCUCUCUCUCCACUAAGACCCAUAUGGCCCAUUAAACUACCCGGGGGGUUCCGGUAACCCCCCGGUACUCCGGUAUAUGCCCGAACUCACUCGGAACCCUUCCGGUGUCCAAACAUAGUCAUCCAAUAUAUCGAUCUUUAUGUCUCGACCAUUUCGAGACUCCUUGUCAUGUCCGUGAUCAUAUCUGAGACUCCGAACAACCUUCGGUACAUCAAAACACAUAAACUCAUAAUACCGAUCGUCAUCGAACGUUAAGCGUGCGGACCCUACGGGUUCGAGAACUAUGUAGACAUGACCGAGACUCAUCUCCGGUCAAUAACCAAUAGCGGAACCUGGAUGCUCAUAUUGGCUCCUACAUAUUCUACGAAGAUAAUUAUCGGUCAAACCGCAUAACAACAUACGUUGUUCCCUUUGUCAUCGGUAUGUUACUUGCCCGAGAUUCGAUCGUCGGUAUCUCAAUACCUAGUUCAAUCUCAUUACAGGCAAGUAUCUUUACUUGUUCUAUAAUGCAUCAUCCCGCAACUAACUCGUUAGUCACUUUGCUUGCAAGGCUUAUAGUGAUGUGCAUUAUCGAGAGGGCCCAGAGAUACCUCUCCGACAAUCGGAGUCACAAAUCCUAAUCUGGAUCUAUGCCAACUCAACAAGUACCAUCGGAAACACCUGCAGAGCACCUUUAUAAUCACCCAGUUACGUUGUGACGUUUGGUAGCACACAAAGUGUUCCUCCGGUAUUCGGGAGUUGCAUAAUCUCAUAGUCAUAGGAACAUGUAUAAGUCAUGAAGAAAGCAAUAGCAAUAUACUAAACUAUCAAAUGCUAAGCUAACGGAAUGGGCCAAGUUAAUCACAUCAUUCUCUAAUGAUGUGAUCCCGUCAAUCAAAUGACAACUCAUGUCUAUGGCUAGGAAACUCAACCAUCUUUGAUUCAACGAGCCAGUCAAGUACAGGCAUACUAGUGACACUCUGUUUGUCUAUGUAUUCACACAUGUACUAAAUUUCCGGUUAAUACAAUUCUAGCAUGAAUAAUAAACAUUUAUCAUGAUAUAAGGAAAUAUAAAUAACAACUUUAUUAUUGCCUCUAGAGCAUAUUUCCUUCACCUUCUCAAUAUUUUAUCAACCAACUUUGUAGUUAAAUAAAAUAUAUUCCUUUGCAGUAGGGAAAAUUGGCUUUACGCAAACAUGAAAACCAUAUAGCCUCCACCAGCCAUAUAUGCAUGUAGAUAUGGUUGUUAUCUUGUUCAUUGCUCUACAGUGUUAUUUUGCCAGCAUAUUCCAUGUGCUGACCCAUUUCGGGCUGCAACGUAUUACAUUGCAGACUUUUCAGACGAAGAGUAAGGUGCGCUAGGUCGUUGUUGUGCACUCAGCUAUGCCGUUGGAGUUGAUGGACUCAUUUACCUUCGAUGCUUCCGCAGUUAUCUUAUUUAGAUGGCCUUAAGCCAUAUUAUUGUAAUAAGUUCUAUUUUGAGACAUUCGAUGUAAUAAGUGUGUGAUUGCACUCUGUUAUAAAUCCUUCAAGUACUGUGUGUGUCAGCAUUACCGAUCCAGGGAUGACACUUAUGCACAGAGAUUUGACCGUUUGAGGUCGGAUCGCUACACCAUCUUUGAUUAACGAGCUAGUCUAGUAGAGGCAUACUAGGGACACUCUGUUUGUCUAUGUAUUCACACAUGUACUAAGUCUCCGAUUAAUACAAUUCUAGCAUGAAUAAUAAACAUUUAUCAUGAUAUAAGGAAAUAUAAAUAACAACUUUAUUAUUGCCUCUAGGGCAUAUUUCCUUCAGCGUUGGCGUGUCAUACGACCGCGCAUACGAGCGUCUGCGCUUGUAUGCUAGGCUGGCUUGUAGGACCACGCGCAGGGCCUCCUUCUUUCUCCCAUUGCUUCGUUCUUUUUAUGGUAGUUAAUUAUCUCAUUGAAUAACGUGAUUCCACCAUAAAUUCCUAGGAUUCCUUCCAAAGAGCUUUAUUUAUUCCAAAAGACGUUUCCUAGGAAACUGACAAAAAGCAAAGCGCGAACGUAAUAAUAUUCCACAAAGCCUACCAUGUAGGCACAAAAUAAUUAUCAAAAUUGUCAUACAUUUUGGACUCAUCAUAAGCCAUGAACAUAUAUGCUCCCUUUGGUAGUCAAUUGAUGGGAUAUGAAACUAACUUCAUAGUCUAUAUGUGGUCAAAUGGCACCUUGUGGAUUGUCACUGAAAAUGAAAAAUAAAUAUAUUAUUUUUUCUACACUUUGUUCCUUCUGAGCUAUUACAAUGAUAAUUGGAUAGCCAUUUAGCUGCACUAAUAGGCCAGUAGCUAUCGAUGGAAUUUAAGUCCCUAACAAGAAGAUAUAAAUGGCAAAGUGCCUCUAUGCAUUUGGUUUGCAGUCGUUCUCAGGGCAUCCACAGUGUGAGUAUUUUUUGCCUCCAAGUCUAUAAGGGUUGCCUCUAUACAUUUCAUCCUCAGUUUCUAAGCAAAAGAAGCUUUAUAUCUAGAGCCAUCUGACAACUUUAUGGAGCAAGGUUGCAGCAGAGUACUAUACCCUAUCGAUGCACUCUGUUCCUCUCUCCCACCUACUUUUCUUACUCCCACACACUAGUAUAUGAAUUUUAUUUUCAACCUUAAACUUCAAAAAACCAUAUAUUUUAAAAUAUAGGAUAAACAAUCCAUAUAAAGGUGUGUCUUACUUUCAACGAUAUCUUUGAAACAAGUUCACUAUUUAAUACUCCCUCCGUUCGAAAAUAACUGGAGUGGUUUUAACUAAAACACGUCAGUUAUUUCUGAGUAGAGGUAAUAUGUUUUAAUAGUUUUGAAUUUUGAAUUUUUGAAAUACAGUGAAACAUAUGCGAAAUGGAUUAUUACAUGAUGGUUUUUGCAUGGACAUAUAACUACGUUAUGUUCUUGGACACAUUAGUAAGUUUAAUAACGAUGGAAAGUAACUUAUGCAAAUUGGUCUAAAACAAGUCUAACAAUCAUAGUUUUUAUUGUUUCAUCAAGUUUUCAAAUUUAUAUUUCGAAAUGAUGAAAUAUAUUCAUGGUUAGUCUUGUUGAAAAGAUCUCCUCGCCAGAAACGCAAAUAUAUAAGUCAUAAAUCAAAAUUUUCUUUAAAAACUACUACGGUUUCAAAUUUGAGGCUGAACAUAAAAUGCAUGGGCGAAUUAAGGAGGGAGAGGGGGAGAAUCUGGGUAGGGGGUAUGGUGGAGCAUGUGUGUUGGCUGUCAUAAUGGAGUUAAUGGUGAUGCCAUGCACGGGAUCGCGAAAAAAGCCGGUCUCCACAUACACCGCCUCGCCGAUUCAUGAGGUGGUUUGGACGGCGUGGGCACUAGCCAAGAUCAAGUUGUUCGCGUGGCUACUCUCCAUCAACAGGUUGCUCACCGCCGACCGGCUCAUGGCAAGGCAGUGGUGGAACUGUUAUUUUAGUCCUUGUGUAGGCGAAACCUCGAAACCAAUGUCCAUCUCUUCCAGGAGUGUCCUUGGGCUCGUGAGCUGUGGAAGAGUGUUGCGUCAAGAUUCAACCUGCUAUCACUCGAUCCCACCAACUCGAAAGACGCGGGCGGCACCGCUGAUUGGCUAACAAACCUCGUUGCGACUUCGCCCCACCAGAACCGUGCCCGAUCCAUGGCAAUCCUGGUCGCAUGGUCAAUCUGGAACGAGCAAAAUGGUAGAAUCUUCAGGAGCAUUGAAUGCACAUUGCAAGCGGUUCUUGGGGUCAUUUGCGACGAGGUCAUGGCCUGGCAGAUGGCUGGGGAAACACUUGAUGCUGCGAGAGUAGACCGGCGCAUAGUCUCCGUUUUCUAGUUUUCCCCUUUUCCUUUCAUUUCUUCUUCCUUUUGGCAAGCUCGCUCGUCUUUGUACAGUGGGCGCUCUUCCGCCGUUUACCUCUUAUAAUGCAAACACAGUUCUCUUGCGCUUCCUCAAAAAUAUACAACACCAUAAAUUCGAUUACUUAGCAUGCAUAAUCAAGUUAGUAUCUCCUUCCUUAUUUUUGGUUAGGAUUAGGAUUUCGUUCUUUGUGUAUAUACAUAUUUACUACUAGUAGUUUUUUACUCUCUUAUACUAAGAGAACGGGACCUGGUCUGAUCCUUCCUAUAUGUAACUGUGUUUGUCAUGACUGACAAAGAUACCCUACGGCAUUGCAUUGCAUUUUUUUGUAAGACAUAUUUGAACUAGCUUAGUUCCUCCAAUAAUUAUUAGGAGUACUGUAUUGUUUUUCUCACCGAUUCUUCUUGUUACUGUUUUGUGGUAGAGAGGAAUAAGGGGGUGUUUGGUUUCAGGUUUUUUUUUGUGUUGGGACUAGAAAAAGUUCCUAGCAAACCAAACAGGGUGGGACUUUUUUGAGACUUUUUGCUAAAAGUCCUUAGAAGCACCUCCUUGAGAGUCUUUUUCAGAAAGUCCUAGGACUAGAGAACCAAACAUCACCUAAAUAUCCCGUUGUACUACUCCAUCCAUGCAUCAUUGAGUCUUGCUUACAUUGCUGCGAUCGAAGAGUUUUGUCCCCGGCAUAUUGUGAAAUGGAAUGUUUGCAACAUUCAUAUUGAUAGAAAAUGCAGGGCAUUUCAUUUGGCCUAGAAAUAAGCCAACAAAAAGUUAGGGAUUCUUUUUACUCAAAAAUCUCUAUAUCAGUUUAAAAAACGUAAGAAUCUAUCAUACGUGAAAAUUACAAUAUUGGGUAUAUUGUAAAGAUGGUAAUUGUCUGUUCCCAUUGCAAAGCACGGAUACUCGUCUAGUCUCUACUACUUAAAAAAACAUAAGGUUACAUGUUGCACUUUUCUUCUCACCACUCAUUCGUCUAACCUUUCUAGUAUGAUAAUCAACCACCUUAAUUUACUGAGUGUAUCGUUUCUGCACCCAGGCUCGGCUGCACCUGAUGAUGAAUAGUAAAAUUGAAAAAUAGCAAAAAUAUUCCAAAAAAUUGAAUUUUUUUACACAUGAAAGUUGAGAGAAUCUUCUAGGUGCGUGCCAAAUUUCAAGGUGUUUGGACAUUUGAGAAGCUCGUGGCAAAAAUAAAAAAUUUGGCUUGUCAAAGAAACUUUCAAAAAGUGCACUGUGUAGACCGAUCUUUUCUACCACGAGCUCGUGAAAUUUCCAAACACCUUGAAAUUUUGCACGCACCUAGAAAAUUCUCUCAUCUUUCAUGUGUAAAAAGUUCAUCUUUUUUGAAUUUGUUUGCUAUUUUUCGAAUUUACUGUUCACUGAGAGCAGGUGAACCUGGGCACCGUUUUCAAUUAUCAUAAUUUACUUACCUUCCGAACCAAUUCCAUUUUAAUUUAUUUAUCAAAUUUCUCAUCAAAAUAUAAGGUAAAUCAGGGACAGGAUUUACUAAACAUUUAUUUACAGAAUCACAUUAAUAUGGACAGGCAAAUCACAAGGUGGCAUACUUGAAUAUUAUAUCCAGUUGCAAUCUCACGGCUGAAAAAAAAAGAAAAAAAAAGCAGGACACUAAAGAAUAGACAGCCUUUUCUCACAGGGAUAUUUUUGUUGUCCAACUGACAAACUCGUCCGGCCACGCAUUUAUUGAAUUCAGUGUCUCCUGAGAUGGUGACACGAAAUUCAAUGGUGCCGACUAUAUGAAAAGUCAAGGAGUACGUUUGUGCUUGCGUAUGCUGCGCUCCGAGAUCAAUCAGCACAGGGUUUCGCAUUUCCAAAAGAGAUCAGCACAAGAAACAGCUGGGAUAUUUGGCUCAUUCGGAUAAGAACUUUCUAGUGCAUGCAUGGAUGCAUCUUUGUUAAACUAAUGUUUUCUGGUGUACUGACGUCCAUGCAUCUUGUUCUUCUUCUCAGUUCUCACUUCCAUGUUUUGCUGCGUGUUUGUGUUGUCUGCUGGAAGAGAACAAACUUUACGCCGUGAGUCAUGAUCCAAACCAUGUGCGCUCCAACGGGAGCUACCGAGCUCGUGAAGAUACCGCCAUGCACUACCCCACUGGUGGGCUCGCAUCCCUAGACGGUCAGCAUUCUUCUACAUUCUUCUGCAGCGCCUAUAAAUUCGAUCGACGAGCCGCUACACCCGUAGCAGCUACGUCCCUAUGGGAAGCCCCAGCAACGACAAACCUAUUCCUGGCCUGCACCAGCUGCCACGGCCAGCCAUGGACAGAGGCAAGACCAAGGCCGACCCCCAUGCCGUGGCUGUUGCCGCCAAGCCGGACCUGCAGGACGACAGCGAGUCCGAGUCAGAUUCAGAGUCUAUCGAGAUCGCGGACCUCAAGAAGCGCAUGUGGAAGGACCAGUUGCUUCUCAUGAAGCUCGAGGGCAGUCCGGGCCAUGACCGGAGAGCAAUAGCGCAGGGGCCGGGGACGGACCUGGCCCAAGCAGAGAAAGAGGCAGAGAUGCCCGAGUCACGGUACCGCCGCAAGGCGAUGCUCCGGGCGCAGGAUGGUGUUCUCCGGCACAUGCUCAGGAUGAUGGAAGCGUGCAACGCGCGGGGGUUCGUGUACGGCAUCGUGGACGAGACCGGCAUGCCCGUGUCCGGCUCCUCCGACAGCCUCCGCGGCUGGUGGAAGGAGGACGUUGGGUUCGAGCGGACCGGGCCGACGGCCCUGGCCGGUCCGUCGACGGCACUCGAAAGCCCGGGGUCGUCGUUCCUCCACGGGCUCCUCGACAUCCAGGACAGCACACUGGGGUCUCUGCUCUCGGCGCUGAUCCAGCACUGCGAGCCCCCGCAGCGGAGCUUCCCGCUGGACAGGGGACUGCCGCCGCCGUGGUGGCCGACGGGCCAGGAGGUCUGGUGGGGCCUGCAGGGCAAGACCCAGGCCCAUCAGGGUCCGCCGCCGUACCGGAAGCCCCACGACCUGAAGAAGGCGUGGAAGAUCUCCCUGCUGAGCGCGGUGAUUAAGCACCUGAGCCCGCGCUUCGACCAGAUGCGCAAGCUCGUGUGGCAAUCCAAGCGGCUGCAGCAUAGGAUGAGCGCCAGGGACGCCGAGACCUGGUCCAGGGUCAUCACCCAGGAGGAGGCGCUCGACCGCCACGUGCAGCGCGCCCUGCGGAUCACGCCGCUCGAUGAGGAGGACGACGACGACGACAAGGAGCCGCGGGAAGCGGAACGCGACCUUCACGUCGACAAGCGCAAGCGAGAGGUCGGAAACGAGAGCGCGGGAGGAAAUGUCGACAGUGGCAGUGGCCGGGAGCUGGUUGCGCUGCCGGGCAUUGACGUCGUAGCGGAGGCGGACCGCAACUCCAUCGACGAGCUCAUGAUGAUGUACUACAGCUGUCUGCAGGGAACAGACGGUGGUGAGCAGGAGAUCAAGGACGUGGUUGCUGGAGGUGGGGAGCAGAACAAUACCUCUUGUGCUGAGACCGGCGUACUGGACGCGGCGACGGUGCGCGAUGACAUGUUCGACGAUUUCUUGAGCGUUGCCGAUGUGGUGGACACGAGUGACUUCCCGGGCAGUCCGAUCUGGCACCGGGGGAGUUCGGAUUUGGAUUAGUGGGUUAAAAGUUACAGUUUUGCUAAAACACAUUUAAGAGCAUGGCUAAUAGAAGAGCCCACUGCCGGCUCUAUACCCAUGCCACAUUAUUAAGAGCCUUCAUGCAAGAAUGCUUAGACUAGCCACAAUAGGCAGUAACAUAGAGUAGUAACAUGAGCAUGUUACUACUCUAUGUUACUAUCUCUAUAGUGGGAAGUAACAUAUGUGUAGUAACAUGCAACACUUCAUUUAUUAUGCUAUAGACUCAUCUUGCCUUGAUAUGUGUGAUGUUACAGUAACUAGCUAAGUUACUAGCAGUGGCGGACCCAGAAAUUCAAGUUAACCGGGGCGAACAUUGAACGUCUAAUUUUUUCGGUACAAAUGCAACUCUAUUCAACUAGAACUCAUAACAUUCAACAACAAAAGCAUACAAAAGGUCUUCAAAACUACCCCUCUGAUCCAUAUUAUUGUUCUAAAUCGGCGACAACUAAGAGCAACUCUAGCAGACCCUGCAAAAAGCCCCGUAAAAUAACCGCCAAAAUGUGGGUCGGCGCGGAAAAUCCCGCCCGAACAGACACCGCUAACGUGCCGGCCCGCAAAAAAAUUUGAGGGACGCGGCAAAAACNNNNNNNNNNNNNNNNNNNNNNNNNNNNNNNNNNNNNNNNNNNNNNNNNNNNNNNNNNNNNNNNNNNNNNNNNNNNNNNNNNNNNNNNNNNNNNNNNNNNNNNNNNNNNNNNNNNNNNNNNNNNNNNNNNNNNNNNNNNNNNNNNNNNNNNNNNNNNNNNNNNNNNNNNNNNNNNNNNNNNNNNNNNNNNNNNNNNNNNNNNNNNNNNNNNNNNNNNNNNNNNNNNNNNNNNNNNNNNNNNNNNNNNNNNNNNNNNNNNNNNNNNNNNNNNNNNNNNNNCCCUCUCCCCCUCGCCCCGCCGCUGGGCCGCCGCCCAAGAUUCCGGCGGGAGCACGCCGAAAGGCCGCCACAUGAGGUUGCCCUCCGUCCCCCCCCCCUCCUGAGUCGGCGGGCCGGAAAGUUGCGGAUCUACGGCCCUUCAUCGCGAGCCGCCGGAUUUGGCUUUUCCGGCCGCCGGUGGCUGCGCCAAGCGAUGAAAUGGUCGGGGAGCAUCAUGUGCAGUCCCGGCAAGGUCGCAUCGCCGCAUGCAGGUACGGGUUCGUCCUCCCACCGCCGCUGACGGUUUGCGGGCAUGGAUUCGGCCGACCGUCCACCGGGCUCGGUGCUCGCGCAGCGGCUCUGUGGCUUGCCGAUGCCGCUCAUACAGUGCGAUGACUGCACGCGGACAGUGCUGCGGCUAACUUCGGGCAUGCCCAAGCACCCCGGAUGGGUGUUCUUCAAAUGCGAAAACGACAGGGUACGUGUUGUUUUCAUUCGGCUUAUUUUGAUAGCCCAUUCUUUGUUUCAAUUGCGGUAGCUCAUGUCGAACAUCAUCAUGUGUGUAGGCAGAUGGAUGCUCAUUUUGGUUUUGGGAAGGCGAAUACAUUGAUUUAUUGAUAGAAAGAAACUUAAUAGACGUUCGUGCGCUCCUUAGUAGAAUCGAAGGCAAUGAUGCGGCUGCAUGUACAACUAGAGGGGAAGCAACGUCUACUUCUUUCGAACCAAAGAUGAAGAAAGAAGAAUGCAAAAUCAAGAAUCCACAGAUCAAUAACGAAUGCAUGGAGAAGAUAUUAGUCCAACUAGUGGGAGCAGUUAUGGAAGUUGGAAAUCUUCUAAAAUGCAUACUUGUGGUUCUUGUUUUUUUUGGUCUUGCUAUUCUAGCAAAGAUUUGGUGAUGUCUUAUGUAUCCAAUGGAUCGGAGGGAGUAGCAAACUACUGACAUGGACUCUUGUCGCUUGAAAUGCUGACUUGAUGCCACAAUAAGAUCCCAUAAUUUCAAAUGAGACCUACAAAAUUAUGAAUGUAUUAGCACAAGUGUGACGGUGUACUUGCACAAAGAACACGGGGAUGUAUAUUUUGAUAUGAUCAUAUGAUUAUAGUAUACCUUUAAGUCUGGCAGCGGCGCAACACGCCAAUUGGGGAUUUUUUUUGUUUGAGGAGAGUUGUCGAUUGAGCACUUGGGCCUGUAGUAAACGUAGCCCAGUACACUAGUCCAGCCCAAAUCUACUUCUCCCUCGUAGCUCAUAUCCCUUGACGCAGUCACGCAGAACAGCGCCGCCGCCACAAUGAAUCGCUCGCUGCUUGCUGUCUGACACAUGCCGGAGGAAACAGGAGGAAGGAUAUGUAGGGGUGCCGAUUUUUCCACCGCCGGCGACCCGGGGCGGCCGCCCCAGCUCGCCCCAAUGGUGGGUCCGCCACUGGUUACUAGAACUACCUCUCUCUUCAUUAACUCAUUGCCACAUAGACAAAUUUGCCGAGUUGGACUUGAAGUUACCGCUGAAGUUACUCCCACUGUGGCUAGUCUUAUAGGCAGGCUGUAGAUUAGUGACUGCAGCAUUAAAUGCUUACAUCUGGAGUGGAGCAUAGAAACGUAAAUAAUUGGUAGGUGAGAAGAAGGCGCCCGCUUUUAGCUAGCAGGCCGGCUACAUGCUGGCUUUAGUUUCUCGUAGCUUGCGCUGUAGCCGGGCGACACGCGAAGCGCCGGCUGUGCUCUCUCUCUUCGUUUCUCACUUUUCCAACUAAGAUUUUGCUGACAUGGAUCAUGUUAUAGCCAGUUGACUAGGACCUAUUAUACUUGCUUUUAGAUGUGUCAUAAGUAUUGCACAUCUGAGGGUCAUUCAUCUUACGCGGAGAUUUGUGUGGAAUUUUUCUUUUUCUUUGUUUUUUUUUCUUUAUUCUUGAUUCACUCAUUUAGAUGUGUAAUAACUAGUCACAUCUAGAUGUGGCCUAGACAAACCUUAAAAGUUAUUCCUUACUACAUCAAGACGAUGUGAAUUAUGGACUGUGUAUAUACGUAAGGGUGAAGUUUUCUGUUAACUAUUUGCGUCUGUUUGAUUAUUAGUCCUAUUAGUACUUCCUUUUUUUGAAUAAGUCAACUAGUGUCACGGUUCUUUACUUCCAAUUUUGAAGAACGCAUGUAGGAAUAGACAAAUCUAAAACAAAUACUAAUUUGGAACAGAGGAGUACUACUACGGAAUGCUGCAUCUAGGGAAAUUUUGUGAAGGAUGCAACCUAGGGACCGACGGGUUGCCAUAUGUUGCAAAUGGAAUUGGAUACUGUUCUUCUUUCAAUCGAAAUGGGCGCAACCAUGAGUUCCUCUCAUUAAGAAAAUGAAACUAGUACCACAGACCAUUCCCGCAACCUAAGGGUUUAAACACUGAGAUCAAAAGCUGACAAGGAAAUAAAGCUCAACCAAACAACAUGAACAACCAGGCCACAUAACACCCACACCAUAGGACAAAACUAAAACAUAAACUACACCACCACCAGCACAACCACAGGAGAAGAUCGCUGGGUGAUCAACACCUCGGUCAUCAAGCUCAGAAUAUUUCCUCAAAGUCCUCCAAAGUCGCUCUCCCACCAUGGUUGCUACCACCUCGCACCUCACUAAUAUGGUUGUUAUUAAGUACUCCAAGAACCACCCAGAUGAUUCAUUAAUUACAUUGUUACUAAGUAGACAUCCAUAAAUUAACCUUUUGAAUGUUGGACCCGAUCCCCGUUGAUAACAGCUAAGCAACUACAUGUUAUAAGGAACAAGGUAAUUGGACCUAAGUUUCUUUUACUGGGUUCUUGUCUACUGAAGCAGAAAUCAUACACGGAAUUCCUAGUUAAAAAAACUACAAUGCAUGAAAACAUAGAUUAUGAUCAAAGGUUCCACUUUCCUGGUAUUGACGAUUCUUCAAACUCACAAUCUUGAUCAAGCUACCCUUCGCUCUUCGUUUAAUCUAAUGUACGUAAAGAGUAACCAUAAACAACCAUACAACACAAAUCAACAUACAACAAGUGCACUGCAUGGUGUCAGUGUCAUUCUGAUGUGAGAUCAUGUGUCAUGUGUUAACUCAUAAGGGUUUGGAAAACAACAUAGUGGUUGUUAAUUGGAGUACAUGUGAUAUAAGGGUCCACAUGCAAGUUUCAAUUUAGAAGGAUUCAUCCCAUAAGGAGUAUGUGAUGCAAAUUUGUGGUUGCCGGACUCAUUCAAAAGAAUCUUGCAACUCGAGUCAUGGUCUAUGAACAAUGGAUAACCAAGUUCAUUUUUAGGUUUGAAUGAAAAUCCAAACUUGUUAACCUUUCAUGGGUAAUACACACUAGACUUGGAUAGAUUUCAAAAUGAUUUGAACUAGGUUCAACUAAACUAAAUUACUAAAACUAGGUUCAAUUUCAAAAUAUUUCAUAAAUGACUAAUGUUGGUUCUUGAAUUCACUUGCCAAAGUAUUUCAUUCAAUUUUUAUAAUGUAAUGACUUUAAGUUCAUUUAAGUUUCAACUAACUUCAAUUUAAGUUUGAAUUCCUAAAGUCAAAUAAUAAUCCAAAAUGUUUUCCAAAGUUCAUUUCAAGUCUUAUUCAGGUCUGCACUAUAGUAAGUUUAAAUCCAACGUUAUUCACUAUAGUCCCUAAAGUUAAGUACCAUGUCCAAUAAUUACUAUAGUUCAAUUUUAGGUUCCUAAAAUUUAAUGUGAAUUAUUAUCCCAGUUUAACCUAGGUUUUAUAGCCAAACUAAGGUUGAACUGAAUGAAAAUAAUAUUUGAAUUUUCUAAAGUCAAAUAUAAAUCCAGAAAAUAUUUACUAGAGUUCAUCUUAAGUUUCUUUACUAUGUUGCAAAAUAUUUAAUCCACUUAAACCUUUAUUUUUAAGUUAUAACUUAAAUAGUUUUAAGUUUCACUUGAAUUUCUAGCUUCUAAUGAAUUAUAUUUAGAUUCGUAUUCUAAAUUAUUCAAAUUUUAAAUCCAGAUAUCUAAGUUGAAACUAUAUUUAAUUAGGUUUACUUUGCAAACCAAAGCAAUUAAAUUGGAUGUAUAAAUUUCAAUCUAGACCCUACUUAAGUUUUAACACAUUCUAUUUGAAUUUCAACUUUAAACUUUUCAAAACUGAUGGCUCCAUAUUUUACGCAUCUUUAGAGCUCACUUGUUGAAUGUUAUCUCUGUAUAUCAAGUUAUACCAUGUUCCAUUGAGCCAAUUACAUGUCCAUAUGCAUGAUUUCUUGUCUUUACUCUUUUAACCGCGAGCAUUGCAUAACCUCUAUUAUUUUUAGUUUUAUUUAGUUUUGUUUGUCUUUGUGUGUCUUGUAGGUGACACGGACUUCCCACACACUUACCAUGACGGAAGGAGUUAAAAUACUGGACAUCCAGCCCUCAGACUUACCGUUUCGGAGAGUGAAAAAGUCAUUUUCCAAGUUGCUCAAAGCAAAGAUCUAAUACCAGAAGUGGGUCGAUGCCAUUCAUAAGAAUCCAACGAGUCCAAGCAUGUCAAAUUCCGAGUUCGUAUGACAAUUUACCGAAGAGGUCCAUAACAAACGAUGGCGUAUCAUACGACCAUAUCUUGUCGUACGCGCGGUCGUAUGGAAGAAUCAGUCCCGAAAGUUGCCUCUCUAGAUAUGAUUCUUCACCGAUUUUGUCCCUAUUUGUUCCUAUGACUUCCUUGGCCUUCAAGGGAUGUUUUGGGAGAGGAUAAGGCUCACCUAGAGCCCUCGGAUCAAAGGGGGGGGGGUGCUAUAUGAACGGAGGAGGCUACCAGAGAGCCAUUAUAUAAACACCUUCAACCCUAGCCACUGUCUCCAUCUCAUAUGUGACGCCUUCUAUUCAAUCGUACACUAAUCGUACACGCAAAUAUGUACGAUCAAGAUCAAGGACUCACGGGAAGAUAUCACAAUACAACUCUAGACAUAAAUCAAAAUAAAACAAGCUUUAUAUUACAAGCCAUGGGCCUCGAGGGCUCGAAUACAUAAGCUCGAAUACACAAGAGUCAGCGGAAGCAACAAUAUCUGGGUACAGACAUAGGUUAGACAAGUUUGCCUUAAGAAGGCUAGCACAAAAGCAACAUCGAUCGAAAAGGCAAGGCCUGAUACGUCUCCAACGUAUCUAUAAUUUAUGAAGUAUUCAUGCUAUUAUAUUAUCCAUCUUGGAUGUUUAAUGGGCUUUACUAUGCACUUUUAUAUUACUUUUGGGACUAACCUAUUGACCCAGAGCCCAGUGCCAGUUUCUGUUUUUUCCCUUGUUUCAGUGUUUCACGGAAAAUGAAUAUCAAACGGAGUACAAACGGAAUGAAACCUUCGGAAAAGUUACUUUUGGAAACAAAGCAAUACGGGAGACUUGGAGUGCACGUCAGGGGAUCAACGAGGAGAGCACGAGGCAGGGGGCGCGCCCACCCCCCUGGGCGCGCCCUCCACCCUCGUGGGCCCCUCGUGGCUCCCCUGACGUAUUUCUUCCUCCUAUAUAUACCAAUAUACCCUAAAACCAUCGGGGAACAGAAGAGAUCGGGAGUUCUGCCGCCGCAAGCCUCUGUAGCCACCAAAAACCAAUCGGGACCCUAUUCCAGCACCCUGCCGGAGGGGGGAUCCCUCACCGGUGGCCAUCUUCAUCAUCCCGGCGCUCUCCAUGACGAGGAGGGAGUAGUUCACCCUCGGGGCUGAGGGUAUGUACCAGUAGCUAUGUGUUUGAUCUCUCUCUCUCUCGUGUUCUUGAUUUGGCACGAUCUUGAUGUAUCGCGAGCUUUGCUAUUAUAGUUGGAUCUUAUGAUGUUUCUCCCCCUCUACUCUCUUGUAAAGGAUUGAGUUUUCCCUUUGAAGUUAUCUUAUUGGAUUGAGUCUUUAAUGAUUUGAGAACACUUGAUGUAUAUCUUGCGUGGGAUAACCGUGGUGACAAUGGGUUAUUCUAUUGAUUCACUUGAUGUAUGUUUUGGUGAUCAACUUGCGGGUUCCGCCCAUGAACCUAUGCAUAGGGGUUGGCACACGUUUUCGUCUUGACUCUUCGGUAGAAACUUUGGGGCACUCUUUGAGGUUCUAUGUGUUGGUUGAAUAGAUGAAUAUGAGAUUGUGUGAUGCAUAUCGUAUAAUCAUACCCACGGAUACUUGAGGUGACAUUGGAGUAUCUAGGUGACAUUAGGAUUUUGGUUGAUGUGUGUCUUAAGGUGUUAUUUUACUACGAACUCUAGGGCUGUUUGUGACACUUAUAGGAAUAGCCCAAUGGAUUGAUCGGAAAGAAUAACUUUUAGGUGGUUUCGUACCCUACCAUAAUCUCUUCGUUUGUUCCCCGCUAUUAGUGACUUUGGAGUGACUCUUUGUUGCAUGUUGAGGGAUUGUUAUAUGAUCCAAUUAUGUUAUUAUUGUUGAGAGAACUUGCACUAGUGAAAGUAUGAACCCUAGGCCUUGUUUCCUAGCAUUGCAAUACCGUUUACACUCACUUUUAUCGCUUGCUACCUUGCUGUUUUUAUAUUUUCAGAUUACAAAAACCUAUAACUACCAUCCAUAUUGCACUUGUAUCACCAUCUCUUCGCCGAACUAGUGCACCUAUACAAUUUACCAUUGUAUUGGGUGUGUUGGGGACACAAGAGACUCUUUGCUAUUUGGUUGCGGGGUUGCUUGAGAGAGACCAUCUUCAACCUACGCCUCCCACGGAUUGAUAAACCUUAGGUCACCCACUUGAGGGAAAUUUGCUACUGUCCUACAAACCUCUGCACUUGGAGGCCCAACAACGUCUACAAGAAGGUUGUGUAGUAGACAUCAAGCUCUUUUCUGGCGUCGUAGCCGGGGAGGUGAGUGCUUGAAGGUAUAUCUUUAGAUCUUGCAAUCGAAUCUUUUAGUUUCUUGUUUUAUCACUAGUUUAGUCUAUAAAAGAAAACUACAAAAAAAAUGGAAUUGAGUUUGCCUCAUACGCUUCAUCUUUUUAAUAUCUUUCGUAAGUAUGAUGGAAAGGAAAAUUGUGCCAAAGUGUUAGAAGAAGAAUGUAUUAAAAUGUUUGGCACUAAAUCUUUGUAUGAUGAGCAUGAUUGCAAUGUUGUUAGUAUGAAUUCCUUGAAUAUCCAAGAUGCUAAUGAUAUGCAAAGCCACAAGCUUGGGGAAGCUAUGUUUGAUGAAGAUGAUAUUUUUUGUCCCCCAAGCUUUGAUGAGCAAAUUUACUAUGAUGAAAGCAUGCCUCCUAUCUAUGAUGAUUAUUGUGCUGACACGUAUGCUUUAAAGAAUAAUGAUAACCAUGAAACUUGUCAUCAUGAUUUUAGUUUUCAAUUGGAUUAUGCCUCACAUGAUAGUUAUUUUGUUGAGUUUGCUCCCACUAUUAUUCAUGAGAAGAAUUUUGCUUAUGUGGAGAGUAAUAAAAUUUCUAUGCUUGUGGAUCAUGAAAAGAAUGCUUUAGGUGCUGGUUAUAUUGUUGAAUUCAUUCAUGAUGCCACUGAAAAUUAUUAUGAGGGAGGAACAUAUGCUUGUAGGAAUUGCAAUAAUAUCAAGUUUCCUCUCUAUGUGCUUAAAGUUUUGAAGUUAUGCUUGUUUCGCCUUCCUAUGCUAGUUGAUUAUUGUUCCCAUAAGUUGUUUGCUCACAAAAUCCCUAUGCAUAGGAAUUGGGUUAGACUUAAAUGUGCUAGUCAUCUUCUUCAUGAUGCUCUCUUUAUGUUUCAAUUCUUAUCUUUUAUGUGAGCAUCAUUGAAAUCAUCAUGCCUAGCUAGGGGUGUUAAAUGUUAGCGCUUGUUGGGAGGCAACCCAAUUUUAUUUUAGUUUCUUGCUUUUUGGUUUUGUUUAGGAAUAAAUAAUUAAUCUAGCUUCUAUUUAGAUGUGGUUUUGUGUUUUAAUUAGUGUUUGUGCCAAGUAGAACCUUUGGGAAGACUUGGGUGAAGUCUUUAUGAUCAUGCUGUAAAAAACAGAAACUUUAGCGCUCACGAUAUUAGCUAAAACUUUUUCCUGGAGAGUGCUAUUUAUUUGAUUAUUUUUUCAGAUGAUUACUAGACACAUUCCUCAGGUCCACCAAUUUAUUUUAGAAUUUUUGGAGUUCCAGAAAUAUACGUUUGAUACAUAUUACUAAAGACUGUUCUGUUUUUGACAGAUUCUGUUUUCUAUGUGUUGUUUGCUUAUUUUGAUUAAUCUAUGGCUAGUAAAAUAGUUUAUAAACCAUAGAUAAGUUGGAAUACAGUAGGUUUAACACCAAUAUAAAUAAAUAAUGAGUUCAUUACAGUAACUAAGUGGCGAUUUAUUUUCUUAUACUAACGGAGCUUACGAGUUUUCUGUUAAGUUUUGUGUUGUGAAGUUUUCAAGUUUUGGGUAAAGAUUCGAUGGACUAUGGAAUAAGUAGUGGCAAGAGCCUAAGCUUGGGGAUGCCCAAGGCACCCAAGGUAAUAUUCAAGGACAACCAAGAGCCUAAGCUUGGGGAUGCCCCGGAUGGCAUCCCCUCUUUCGUCUUCAUCCAUCGGUAACUUUACUUGGAGCUAUAUUUUUAUUCACCACAUGAUAUGUGUUUUGCUUGGAGCGUCAUUUUAUUUUUCUUUGUUUUGAUUGAUGUUAUUUAGAAUAAUGUUUUGCAUCUCUAGUUUCAAUAAAAAUGUCAAGGAUAGCUUUUACCAUGCUUAUUUUGCAAGUAUACAUGUUGCUGUUUCAAAACAGAAAGUUUACCGCUGUUGCAAAAAUUCCCUAGAAAAGUCAGAAUGUGAUAAAAUGUUGAAACCUUUUGCAUAAUAAGCUCUGAUUAAUUUAAUACAGUGGGAAUUUUCUUUCAUAAUUUUUGGAGCUAGGGAAGUAUGGAUCUUGCUGCAUUCUUUACAGACUGUCCUGUUUAGGCAGAUUGCUGUUAUGUUUGCAUUGUUUGCAUAUGUUUGCUUGUUUAAUGAUUCUAUUUGAGGAUAGGACUAUUAAAUAUGCAGAGGCAUUUAGUAUGCAAUGUUGAAUAAUAAUUUUAGUGAUUUGCUACAGUAUAGUAUGAUAAGGUUUUUGCAUUGGUUUAUACUAGUAUGAUAAGGUUUUUUUGUGUGGAUGAAGCUUUUGAGAUUUAGGAAGACCGUGAUAUGAGAGGAAUUAAGGAUACACAAAAGCUCAAGCUUGGGGAUGCCCAAGGCAUCCCAAGAUAAUAUUUCAAGAAGUCUCAAGCGUCUAAGCUUGGAGAUGCCCUGGUUGGCAUCCCACCUUUCUUCUUCGACAAUUAUCGGUUAGUAUCGGUUGAGCCUAAGUUUUUGCUUCUUCACAUGAUGAGUGCUAUCCUUGAAAUGUUGCUUUAUUUUGUUUUGCUUGCUGUUUGAAUAAUAUACCAAGAUCUGAAAUUCUUAAAUGAGAGAGAGUCCUCACAUAGCUAAAUAAUUAUUUAACUACUCAUUGAUCUUCACUUAUAUUUUUUUGGAGUAGUUUGGCAUCUACUUGUGUGCUUCACUUAUAUCCUAUGAGUAAAUGGUUGAAUGAUUUGAAUGUCAUAAGUCUGAAAUUAUAUAUGUUUCAUAUGCCUUUCCCAUGGGGAGUAAUGCCUUCACAUAUAAGAAGUAGAGGUGGUAAAUUUAUUGAAGGUUAGCAAACAUUGUAUUGGUCACUUCAACAAUUCAUGAAAGAAUAUUAAAGGAAGAGAGAUUUCACAUAUAAAUAUACUAUCUUGGACAUCUUCUAUGAUUGUGAGCCCCAUUAAAUAUUUUCAAACCUGAGCAAAUUAGUUGAAGUUGGACAAGGAAGACAACUUAAUGAGUUAUGCUUGGGUAUAUUUGUAUAAGUUAUAUUGUUAUGGAUCCUCUAACAUGUGGUGAUUGCUAUUUAGAAUCCUUUGCUAGCCAAAAUAUCUGUACUAAGCGGGAAUACUGCUUGUGCAUCCAAAAUCCUUGAACCAAGUUUCUUCCAUGAGUGUCCACCAUAUCUACCUAUAUGCGGUAUUUACCUGCCGUCCCAAGUAAAUUUGCAUGUGCCAAACUCUAAACCUUCAAAUAAUAAUCUGUUUUGUAUGCCCGAAUCGCUCAUGUAGCGACUAGGUGCUGUCAGUAUCUUCCAUGCUAGGUGGGUUAUUCUCACGAUGAGUGGACUCCGCUCAUCAUUCAUGAGAAAAUGGCUGGUAACUGGGAUGCCCAGUCCUAUGAUCAAAAGAUCAAAAACAAAUUCACAAAUAAUUUUAAAAAAACUCCCCCAGGAAUGUUGAUAGUUGGACGGCACCCGUUAUUUCGGACAAGCCGUGGAGUGUGAAUGUUGGUGGAGGGGGAGUAAAAAAAUUACCUUUCUGCGUGGGAACCGCCUAUGAUGUAUCUAGUAUGGAAGAUAUUGGGAACUCUUGGUCGUUAUGUUGACAAUGAAAGCAUACCUCUCAAAAUUAUUUUCAUCUCUGUUUUUGCCUUGAGCUCUGGCACCUCUGCAAAUCCCUGCUUCCCUCUGCGAAGGGCCUAUCUUUUACUUUUAUGCAAGAGUCAGUAGUAUUCCUUCUCAUUCCAACCUACUCUUUAGUUGGCAAGCAUCAUGUGAUGGAAAGAUCUAAGCAUAUAUGGCCAUCCAAAUAUAUUUGAGCAUGAAUUAUUACUGUUGACAUUACCCUUGAGGUAAAAGGUUGGGAGGCAAAACAUUAAGCCCCUAUCUUUCUCUGUGUAAUGAAUACUAUUUGUUCUAAAAAUAUGCUUUGAGUGGUAGCAAUCAUGGAAGACUAAAUGAUAGUUGAGUAUGUGAAGUUUGCUGAAUCAAAGCUCUGACAUAGACUCUUCCUGAAAAUAAGAUGAAUUGCAAUUGUUUGAUGACUGAGAACAUAGUUUGUUAGUUUUCAAGAAAGUUUAUGAUCUAUACUUUAACAUGUGAAUAGUUUGUUACUUGAUCAUGCAAAGUUCUAUGAGUUGAGCUACUUUUAUGACAUAUAAUGAUGCUAGAAAAGGUGAUUGAAAUUACCAUUGAUAAAACUUAUGCACCUGCUAGCAUUCACACUUCAUAAAUUAUUUCUUUUAUCAUUUACCUACUCGAGGACGAGCAGGAAUUAAGCUUGGGGAUGCUGAUACGUCUCCAACGUAUCUAUAAUUUAUGAAGUAUUCAUGCUAUUAUAUUAUCCAUCUUGGAUGUUUUAUGGGCUUUACUAUGCACUUUUAUAUUACUUUUGGGACUAACCUAUUGACCCAGAGCCCAGUGCCAGUUUCUGUUUUUCCCUUGUUUCAGUGUUUCGCAGAAAAGGAAUAUCAAACGGAGUCCAAACGGAAUGAAACCUUCGGAAAAGUUAUUUUUGGAAAGAAAGCAAUACGGGAGACUUGGAGUGCACGUCAGGGGAUCAACGAGGAGAGCACGAGGCAGGGGGCGCGCCCACCCCCCUGGGCGCGCCCUCCACCCUCGUGGGCUCCUCGUGGCUCCCCUGACGUAUUUCUUCCUCCUAUAUAUACCAAUAUACCCUAAAACCAUUGGGGAACAGAAGAGAUCGGGAGUUCCGCCGCCGCAAGCCUCUGUAGCCACCAAAAACCAAUCGGGACCCUAUUCCAGCACCCUGCCGGAGGGGGGAUCCCUCACCGGUGGCCAUCUUCAUCAUCCCGACGCUCUCCAUGACGAGGAGGGAGUAGUUCACCCUCGGGGCUGAGGGUAUGUACCAGUAGCUAUGUGUUUGAUCUCUCUCUCUCUCUCUCGUGUUCUUGAUUUGGCACGAUCUUGAUGUAUCGCGAGCUUUGAUAUUAUAGUUGGAUCUUAUGAUGUUUCUCCCCCUCUACUCUCUUGUAAUGGAUUGAGUUUUCCCUUUGAAGUUAUCUUAUCGGAUUGAGUCUUUAAUGAUUUGAGAACACUUGAUGUAUGUCUUGAGUGGGAUGACCGUGGUGACAAUGGGUUGUUCUAUUGAUUCACUUGAUGUAUGUUUUGGUGAUCAACUUGCGGGUUCUGCCCAUGAACCUAUGCAUAGGGGUUGGCACACAUUUUCGUCUUGACUCUCCGGUAGAAACUUUGGGGCACUCUUUGAGGUUCUAUGUGUUGGUUGAAUAGAUGAAUCUGAGAUUGUGUGAUGCAUAUCGUAUAAUCAUACCCACGGAUACUUGAGGUGACAUUGGAGUAUCUAGGUGAUAUUAGGAUUUUGGUUGAUGUGUGUCUUAAGGUGUUAUUUUACUACGAACUCUAGGGUUGUUUGUGACACUUAUAGGAAUAGCCCAAUGGAUUGAUCAAAAAGAAUAACUUUGAGGUGGUUUCGUACCCUACCAUAAUCUCUUCGUUUGUUCCCCGCUAUUAAUGACUUUGGAGUGACUCUUUGUUGCAUGUUGAGGGAUAGUUAUAUGAUCCAAUUAUGUUAUUAUCGUUGAGAGAACUUGCACUAGUGAAAGUAUGAACCCUAGGCCUUGUUUCCUAGCAUUGCAAUACCGUUUACGCUCACUUUUAUCGCUUGCUACCUUGCUGUUUUUAUAUUUUCAGAUUACAAAAACCUAUAUCUACCAUCCAUAUUGCACUUGUAUCACCAUCUCUUCGCCGAACUAGUGCACCUAUACAAUUUACCAUUAUAUUGGGUGUGUUGGGGACACAAGAGACUCUUUGCUAUUUGGUUGAAGGGUUGCUUGAGAGAGACCAUCUUCAACCUACGCCUCCCACGGAUUGAUAAACCUUAGGUCAUCCACUUGAGGGAAAUUUGCUACUGUCCUACAAACCUCUGCACUUGGAGGCCCAACAACGUCUACAAGAAGAAGGUUGUGUAGUAGACAUCAAGGCCUCCUGCCUGGGAGCCUCCUUACUACUCCUGGUCGUCGGCGGUCUCCACGUAGUAGUAGGCAUCGACGGUGGCAUCUGGCUCCUGGGCUCCGACAUCUGGUUGCAUCAACCGGAAAGAAGAAGAAAGGGGGGAGCAAAGCAACCGUGAGUACUCAUCCAAAGUACUCGCAAGCAAGGAUCUACACUACAUAUGCAUCGGUAUCAAUGAAAUGGGCUGAAUAUGUGGACUGAACUGCAGAAUGCCAGAAGAGAAGGGGAAAGCCUAGCCUAUCGAAGACUAGCAUCUUCAAGCAGCUCCAAGCAUCAUGAAGCAUCAGAAGAGAUAAGAGAAGCAUAAAGUAUAGUAGUAGUGUUAUCAACCUCGGCCAGAGAUCCUUUCCCGACUCCCUGCGAGAAAGCAAUCCCGGAGCCAUACUAUCCAUUUCUCAUAUCCAUGUCUCAUCUCAAGUAUCCAGUUCUAGUUGUAUCGAUCGGGAUACAACUCCAAGUCUCCGUUACCGUAGGACAGGCUAUCGAUAGAUGUUUUCUUCCCUGCAGGGUGCGCCAACUUACCCACCAUGCUCGAUUAACUCCGGCCGGACACACUUUCCUGGGUCAUGCCCGGCCUCGGCCAAACAAUACGCCACAACCCGACCUAGGCUUAAUAGAGAGGUCAGCACGCCAGACUAAACCUAUGCCCCCAGGGGUCAUGGGCCAUCACCCCGGGAACUCCUGCACGUUGCGUACGCGGCCGGUGAGCAGAUCUAGUUACCUCCUUUAAAAAGGCAGGUGCUUACCAGUCCAACCCGGCGCGCGCCGCUCAGUCGCUGACGUCUAUUAAGCUUCGGCUGAUGCAUACGACACAGAACACCCAUACUACGCCCACGUGAUGGUUAGUGCUAUCAGGCCAGAGGCCCCUCGGAUCAAAUAUCCAAAUCGUAGUGGAUUAGGAACGCGUGGUAACAAGCAGAGACUCACGAAAGAUGUGACCCCGUCGCCCCGUCUCGAGGACUUGCGGCAAGGGCUAGGAAUGCCCGGCCACGCCUCGUAAUUAUCUCGCGGGCACCCUCCAGGUCAACCCAUCUCCACAUCACUCGCGGGUACCCCUCAGGGUCGACCCGCCUUUCCAAGUAACAGUGGUAAAGUCCAAGUAUCCGUGUGUCCAAACAUCAAGGGGAAAACCCGAGGAAUCACCCCCGGUGAAUUCCACUCGAUGUAAUCAUCAAGGUGAACGUAAGAGGAACCACCCCCGAGGUUCACACUUGAGGGGUUGCACGACAGAGUCGUAUCGGAAGUGGUUAAGGCGGAAUCACCCUCGAUGACCACGACCGAAUAGCUACACUACAUGGUUAACAUCAGAAGUGCUGUAGAGGUCUCACCCUCGGCACUCGAUAGUAACCCAGUAGUGUCGAGCAACUAAGGGGAAAGUGAUGUGCGGUGCCGGGGCCUGGUCUUCGAUCCCGUUGAUUGGGUCUUCUGAUAAUCCAGCGGGGCAGUCGGGACAAAGUGGGGGUCUCUGACGGGUCUCUACCCAACCUAUACUAAACAGUUUAGGAUAAGCAGGUAGGUAACAACAACAGGUUACAAUAAACAGGCUAUGCAUCAGAAUAGGAGCAAACAAUAACAGUAGCAAAAUCUAAUGCAAGCAUGAGAGAAUGGAACGGGCGAUAUGGGGAUGAUCAAAGGGGGGCUUGCCUGGUUGCUCUGGCAAGAAUGAGGGGUCGUCGUCGACGUAGUCGAUCACAAGGGCGGCAUUGGUCUCGGGGUCUACCGGAGAGAAGAGGGGGAAGAAACAGUAAAUACAUAGCAAACAGAGGCAUCACUAAGCAUGACAUGACGAUACGUAGUGCCAGGCGUGCUCUAACGCGGUACUACACGUUGCAGACGAAGGGGGAAAACAUCCGAGGAUGAUUUCCCGGCGGUAGGCGGAUUUCAGACAAAUGAAAGAGAGGGGACGGUUCCAUGUUCAGCAUGCUAGGGGCAUGUGACAGAUGAAUGGACCGCGUAUUCGGAUUCGUUGGAUUUUUCUAAGCAACUUUCAUAUAGAAAGUUUUUCGAUCCGAGCUAUGGUUUAUUUGCUAUGAAAUUUCAAAGGUUUUAAUCAUUUUCUGGAAUUUAAGCUAAUAAAAAAAGAGUGAAAAGGCUAGGUGCACCCGGUGCAGUGCACCAGUGAGGCUGACCCGUGGGUCCAGUCAACUGCUGACUCAGCAGUUGACUGGUCCACGGUUGACCAGUCAACUGGUCUGAUGGGACCCGCAUGGCAGUGUGAUUAAGCUAAUUAACUAAGAAUUAAUUAAUUAACUAAUUAAUCUAAUUACUACUUUCAUUUAAAAUUCCUUUUUAAAAGGGGCGGGCCCCACUAGUCAUACUCAAGGGGGGUUAGCACUUAAUCUAAACUGGGGGGUUAUCCCCACUAAUCCAGCACAGAACCGGCUGGCUCGCUCGAUAGAAGCCAUGGCCGGGUGUGCCGCCAGCGAUGGUGGGCGAGCAGGCGGCGCGCGGGGCGGGGGGGCAGUAGCGGGCGUCGCCNNNNNNNNNNNNNNNNNNNNNNNNNNNNNNNNNNNNNNNNNNNNNNNNNNNNNNNNNNNNNNNNNNNNNNNNNNNNNNNNNNNNNNNNNNNNNNNNNNNNNNNNNNNNNNNNNNNNNNNNNNNNNNNNNNNNNNNNNNNNNNNNNNNNNNNNNNNNNNNNNNNNNNNNNNNNNNNNNNNNNNNNNNNNNNNNNNNNNNNNNNNNNNNNNNNNNNNNNNNNNNNNNNNNNNNNNNNNNNNNNNNNNNNNNNNNNNNNNNNNNNNNNNNNNNNNNNNNNNNNNNNNNNNNNNNNNNNNNNNNNNNNNNNNNNNNNNNNNNNNNNNNNNNNNNNNNNNNNNNNNNNNNNNNNNNNNNNNNNNNNNNNNNNNNNNNNNNNNNNNNNNNNCGGCGGAGUGCAUCGCCGGCGUAAGGCGGGGCGCGCAUGGCAGGCGAGCGGGCAGGCGAGCGGUGGCGGCCGGAGGCGGGCGUAGAGCAGCUGCAGCGGGCAGCGCAGGGAGCAGCUGUAGUAGCAGUAGGAAGAAGCAGCAGCAGCGGAGCGAGCAGCAAGCAAGGCGAGGCCAGGACGCAGGCGGACGCGACAGCGGGCGGGCGUGUGCGCGUGCGUAGGGCGCGGCAGGAGCACGGGCAGGGGCGGUCCAAGGCACGCAGCCGGCACGACCGAGGCAGAUGCGGGAGUAGACCAGGCGCACAGCAGCCAAGCAGUAGCAGCAACGCAACAACGUACGGGGGGGACGUGACGGGCGCGAGGUCAGAACGCGGCGGUGACGACGACCUACGGUGCCGGAUUCGAAUGGAAAAAGGGGGGAUGGAGCAAGGGGCUCACAUCGGUGCCGAAGGUGAACUCGAGGAGGUCGGGGAUGUCCUGGAUGUGGCAGAUCGAUGGGCGGCGUCCGGCGACCGUAGUCGGAGAAGGAUGGUCGAUGGCGAGGCUUCGAGGCAGCCCGGGGCUUGUACUUGCACCACGAGGACGAGGGAGAUGAGGGUGACCUCCUGGAUGUGGUCUCAGGUGGCGGGGAGCUCGUUGGCCGUGGCUACAACGACGGUCGCGACGACCACAGCUUAGUUGAAGCUCCAGAUCGGGAACGAGGAAAGGGGGAGAGGGGAAUAAUGCUAGGGUUCGAUAGAGGGGCGCGAGGAUGCUCUUAUCCGUCUCAGGGCACCGACGGAUGGUCGACACGGGUGAGAUCCGCGUGUGGACGGUCGCGCGUGCCCGGCCAGCGCCAUGGCCUCUGCCUCUGACGAAAGGUGAGGGAAAGGCCGGGGCGGUGGGCCGGGCCUCGUACAGUGCAAGCUGGGCCAGGUGCAAAAGAGGGGGGGUGGUCUUUCUAUUUCCCCUUUUUUUAUCCUUUUUCUGUUUUGCCUUUUUGCCUCUGUUUGCAAAUUGCUUGACCACCAAAAAACUUUUGUAAAAAAAGCAACUUGCCAAAACAAAUACUAGGCAUUAUUUAGUACUGCUACAAAAAAGCUUGAGUUUAUUUUGAAAAGUUUAGAAUCGUGUUUGAAUUUAAAUGGUUCAUUAAGAUGUUGCUGGAACACUACAUUAAAUCCCGGGGGGUUUGGAAAUCCAAAUGAGGUUGUUUUCACCAUGACAAAUACUUGGAGAUUAUUUGCAACAUCAAGAACAUUUUUGUUUGCAUGACAGAAGAAGCAAAUAUUUAACUUGUAAUUCAACUGGAAUUUGGAUUUGAUUUCAUCAAGUGGCAAUUUAGUUUGAAAAGCAUGAUGACAUGGCAUCAUUGAAGGGGAGAUCACUGUAGCAUGGUUCUCGGGGUGUUACAUCAUAUCAUUCAUCAUUCAUCAUUCAUCUCCAUGUCCAGCCACCGUCCACAUCAAGAACACCAUAGUUGCAACCGAGAGGGAGACCGAAGGGAGCCGUCGCCGCCGCUCCAUCGCCACCAUCAUCCGCCGCCGCGCCAUCAUCAUCACCAUCACCACCCCUUCUUCCUCCUCCAUAAUGGUCUCUGUGAUGGGUUGUAACAACUCUUGAACCCCCUUAUAUGUGAUGUUAUUUGAGUAAUUGUUAGCUAUGGGUCGGUCAAUUAGUAAGUGGUUGUUUGAUAUGUUUAGUCUAUUUAUGUGUGUUGCUUACUUACCUCUGCGGUAAUUUAGUGAAUUGGAUACGUUCAAUCCAUUGGCGUAGUUGGAGACGUUCAAAUCUUAGGCCACAUGAUAGAAUUUUUUGGAAACUGAUAGACUUGUGACGUGACAAGUGCAGACAUCUUAAGGGGAACACAAUUAUUCUAGGAGCACGGUUGUCCAUAGAACUUAUUGCCUUCAUUCGGUCCUCGUGACCUUAAUAUCUUUGUGUUUCCUGCCACAAGUAUGGGACAAGAAGUAGGACGAAUGAGCUAUCUCAGUACAUCGCGUCUUGAGGGAUAACAUUAUGCAAGGGAUCGCCCACCAUUAGUAGAUUGCCGUAUCCUAUAAUGCAGGUACUGACUUAGCCACCACAUGGCAUAGUCGUAAAUCUUAACACCAUUUUGUGCCCGUACCAAACGAGACGAUACCUAGAUGCCAGCAACCUCAUCUAAAACAUCACAUAGUUCUCUUAGUUUAUUUUCCUCUAUUUAUAUUAUUUAUUUUCUGUUCUCUCUAGUACUUAGUUCUCUCUUUUACCAUUCCCUAGCAACCUACUCGAAUGAACUAUUUCCAAACUCUGGUUUGGGUGUGAGCGUAGUUGUGUUGAGUGACGAUAGGGACUGUGGUGCCAUCCUAUUCGCUCCCUAUGGGAUCGACAAACCUUACUUAUCAUGAAAUUUCUACAUAGCCUUGUGCACUUGCAUGCCAUCAAAAACCUAAUCUUUAUUGGUCUAGGUGAAAGCUUACUUCAUAAGGUCUAGUUUGCAAAAAGUUUCACUCAAUUUGGACCUACUCGUAAAACUUAUAAUGGUUAAAGUUCCAGGGGGUUUCUGUAAAACUACCAAGCGGUUUUAAUUUAAAUCAGAAAAAUGUUGUGGAUAAGGCUGGGGACACGUGGAUGGCUCCUACGGGUCUACACCGAUUCGGUUAAGUGACUGGACGUGGGGUCAUGCGCUUAGUUGUGCUCAGGUGAGUGGGCAAGCGACGUGGGGCGGCAGUUAAUGGACAAAGACAAAGCUGACUGUGGGGUUAGCCUGUCAGUGAGAGAGAGAGGGUGUGCAGCUGGCUAGCUAGAUCGUUGUGUUAGGUGAGCCUCUAGGUUUAGGUUGUUCAUUCUUUUCGGUUCCCUUUGUAAAUUCAAAACUAUUUAGAAAUUGAAUUUUCUUCCAAAAGUUAACUAGCCUAAAUUCCAAAUGGAAUACUCCUGGUCUGGUGAUCAUUCUGCCACCUUAUAUUUUCUUUUUCUGUUUUCAAUUCCUUUUUGAACUUCAAUUUGGUUUGAAACAAUAUACUCUAAAUCUAACUUGGAAUAUUAAUAGAAAGUCAAGCAUUUUCUUUGGACUUAUGGUAAUUAUUUUUCCUGCCAAACAAUGCAAGGCCCUUUCAAAUAAUUUUCCCAUUUGAUUUCUGAAUUCAUUCCAACAUAAUUUCAUUUCCACUAUUUGGGAAAUUUAUUAGGGUUAUGAAUAUCAUUUUGAACUGAUUAAGAAUACAUUUACGCCCAAAUAAAUAUUUUAAUUUGUCACCCUAUUUUAGGAUUCAAAAUUAUUCCCUAAAACCUUUUAGGGUUCAUUCUGUUUUACCAAUUUCAAUCUAGGGUUUCAAAUGUCGGCAUAGGGCCUUUGACCCUCUAGGUUGAUCAAUUCAAUCGAUCACAAGAAAAUACUAGGGAAUGUGAGAUAAUGAGAGAGCAGGCAAAAAAAAUCUACAAAAAUAUUAAUUCCCUGUGAAAUUUUAAACAUACUAGAUUUGGAAAAAAUCUGGGAUGUGACAAAAACUCAGUUUUAUUCUUUUCGUUGACUAUACAAUAAAUAUCCCAGAACUGGGUGCCUAGAGGUGAGUUUACAAACCAAAUAUGUUCACCAAACAACACAUAUCUAGCAUUACCUAAAAACCAUGUAUAUCCAAACCUAACAACUUUCAUAGCCCACAUAACCGAUAUGUCUCCAACGUAUCUAUUUUCUUAUUGUUCCAUACUAUUACAUUGUCUGUUUUGGAUGUUUUAUAUGCAUUAAUAUGCUAUUUUAUAUUAUUAUUGGGACUAACUUAUUAACCUAGUGCCCAUUGCCAGUUGUUAUUUUUUCCUUUUUUUGGCUUUUAGAGAAAAUCAAUACCAAACAGAGUCCAAACGGAAUAAAACUUUACGAUGAUUUUUCUUGGACCGUAAGAAACCCAGGAAGCUUUGGGAGGAGGCCAGAAGACUUGCAAGGAGGCCACAAUCCGUAGGCCUUCUAACCCUAACUCCACCACUAUAAAUUCUCAAAUAUUCCCCUUACAUCAGAGGGCACACAAAAAAUAUUAUUCCGCCGCCGCAAGCUUCUGUUCUCAUGAGAUCCCAUCUUGGGGCCUUUUCCGGCACUCCGCUAGAGGGGGAUUCGAUCAUGGAGGGCCUCUACAUCAACCUUUGCUUCCCUUCCCAUGAUGCGUGAGUAGUUUACCACGGACCUAAGGGUUCAUAGUUAGUAGCUAGAUGGCUUCUUCUCUCUCUUUGAUCUUCAAUACAAUGUACUCCUCGAUGUUCUUGGAGAUCUAUUCGAUGUAAUCUUCUUUUGCGGUACGUUUGUUGAGAUUCGAUGAAUUGUGGAUUUAUGAUCAAAUUAUCUAUGAAUAUUAUUUGAGUCUUCUCUGAACUCUUUUAUGCGUGAUUGAGAUAGCUUAGUAUUUCUCUCCGAUCUAUCGAUCUGGUUUGGCCUACUAGAUUGGUUUUCCUUACAAUGGGAGAGGUGCUUUGUGAUGGGUUCAAUCUUGCGGUGUCUUCACCCAGUGACAGUAGGGGCAGCGAGGCUCGUAUUGUAUUGUUUCCAUUAAGGAUAAAAAUGGGGUUUAUAUCAUAUUGCUUGAGUUUAUCCCUCUACAUCAUGUCAUCUUGCUUAAGGUGUUACUCUAUUCUUAUGAACUUAAUACUCUAGAUGCAUGCAGGAGUCGGUCGAUGUGUGGAGUAAUAGUAGUAGAUGCAUAAUUGUUUCGGUCUACUUGUCACGGGCGUGAUGCCUAUAUUCAUGAUCAUUGCCUUAUAUAUCGUCAUAACUUAGCGCUUUUCUAUCAAUUUCUCAACAGUAAUUUGUUUACCCACUGUAUGCUUUAUUCAAGAGAGAAGCUUCUAGUGAAACCUAUGGCCCCCGGGUCUAUUUUCCACCAUAUAUUUUCAGAUCUACAAAACAAAAACCUAAAAAUACCUUGCUACAAUUUAUUUAUAUUCACUUAUUUGCCUUUUACUUAUUUUUUAUAUCUAUCUCUAUUAGAUCUCACUUUUGCAAGUGACCGUGAAGGGAUUGACAACCCCUUUUCGCAUUGAGUGCAAGUGUUUGUUAGUUUGUGCAGUUGCAUAUAUUGGGGACUUUCUUGUGCCUCCUACUGGAUUGAUACAUUGGUUCUUAACUGAGGGAAAUAUUUAUCUCUACUUUGCUGCAUCACCCUUUCCUCUUCAAGGGAUAAAUCAUCAACGCAAGCUCAAGAAGUAGCAGGAAGAAUUUCUAGCGCGGUUGCCGGGGAGGUUCUACAUCAAGCCUACUAAGUACCUAUCAUAAACUCUCAUCUCUUGCAUUUACAUUAUUUUCCAUUUGUCUACCAUUUUCCUCUCCCCCACUUCUAAAACGUUUUCAGAAAAACACAAAAAUAUUUGCCUUCUUUCCGUUCGUCUUUUCGUUUGCUUGUGCCUCCUACUAGAUUGAUACCUUGGUUCUUAACCGAGGGAAAUACUUAUCUCUACUUUGCUGCAUCACCCUUUCCUCUUCAAGGGAAAAAUCAACGCAAGCUCAAGAAGUAGCAAUAACCCCUUUAAAAAAUUGAGAAGGAUGUGGAUCAUGGCAGCACAUAGUAUUAAGGUUCUUGGUAUUAUACUUAGCAUCUAUAACUCUACUCCAUAGUGUCCCUUCUCCUAAGAUAUCUCUUUUAACCCAGGAGACGGUUAGGCAAAGAUUCAUAUCAUGUAUAUUUUGAACUCCCAUCCACCAUAUUCCCUUUUCAUGCAUAUGGAGGGCCAAUUGGCAGGGUGCAUCUUUUGGCAGCCUUCACCAUCACUCCAGAAAUAAUUAUAAAACCAUGAAUUGACCAAAGGCACAUACCAUUUCGGGAACUUAUAGGAAGAUAACAUGUGAAUAGGAAUACUAGAUAGACAAAUCCUAACCAAGGUGACCCUCCCUAAUAAGGACUAGGAUCUUACCCUCCAUCUAGCCAUCCUGUCCAGCAUGGCAUCAACUAGAGAUUGGAGGUCCUCUCUCUUGAUCUUAUCAAAUUGCAAAGGAACUCUAAGUACUUAAUAGGCAAGCCCCCCCUUGAAUAAAUUAAAAAUACCCAAGAAAGGUUUAACCUCUCCAGGUUCUAAAUUGAUAGGCACCAAUUCAUUUUUGUGAUAAUUAAUAGACAUCCCUGAAACCAACUCAAAGCAAGUUAAGACCCACUUAAUAUUUAAAGCUACUAGAGGGUCAUUAUCAAUGAACAAGAAAGUAUCAUUUGCAUAUCACAGACACACUACACCACAAGGGCAAAAAAUAGGGAAGAGCCCUCUAAUUAGCCCAACGCCCCAACUCGUCAUCCUUUCACUAAUAUCCUAGCAAACACAUCCACCACCAAAUUAAAAAUCAAUGGGGACAAAGGGUCUUCCUGUCUCAAAUCCCUACUAGUGAAGAAGAAGUAAGUUUCCUCACCAUUAAUCUUCACAUCCACUGAUCCUACUGGGUGAGUCUCCUAAUCCAACCAAUCCAUUUAGCACCAAACCCCCUAAGUUCAAGAACCCCAUUCAAAAUAUAUAUCUAAACUAACCUUGUCAUAAGCCUUUUCAUAAUCAAUCUUAAAUACAAGGUCUUUCUAAAGAGAAGAGUGUACCGAGUGAGCAACCUCAUGGGCAAUCACCACACUCUUCAAAAUAAACCUACCUCUAACAAAAGCAGAUUGAUGCUCAGAUAUUAGUCUGCCAAUAAUCAGGGCUAGUCUAUUGGUAGACUUUAGUAAAGAUCUUAAAACAACAAUUGAGGAGAUUUAUAGGCCUAAAUUUCUUCAUGUUUCUGGCAUCAACUUCUUUAGGAAUAAGAGUGAUGCAAAAUCAAGUCUAAUGAUGUCUAGGUUUAGAUCAAACAAGACUUCAAACAUAGCCAUCAAAUCAACUUUAAUAAUGUCACAGAACACUUGGUAAAAUAUAAAAGGCAAUCCAUCGGGCCUAGGGGCACCAUCACAAUAGGAGUCAAAACAGCUUCCUAAUCUCCUCCUCGGUACACCUAGUAUUCUCCUCCACAGAAAUUUUCUCGUCCUCUCCAAAUAAAUCACUCUUAAGAGAAAUAUCAGGUCUAUGUUCAUAUCUAAAUAACUCCUUAUAAUAGUCCAAAGCCCUCAGGUCCAUCUAGAACACUAAUCAGUUUUUCCUUCACCUAUGAUUAGCUACAACAUGGAAGUAAGCAGUGUUUGUGUCAUCCUCCAUAAUAUCCCUAUCCCUAGACCUUUCUCCAACCGUAGUCUCCUAUGUAUUCCAAGUGUCUCCUAACUCUAGCAGAAUUUUAUCCACUGAUCCUACCCUUCGCCGCGCCUGUCGCCAUGGCCGCGCGUGAUGGGGGUCAGCACCGGAUGUUGCGGCUUGCAAGCCAAACGGUGCGACGAGCGACGACCGGAGCUGUGACUGACACCGCACAAGUGGAAAAUUAGAAUUGCAACUAUUGACAGAAAUGUUUCAACAAUAGAUAUUAAAGUUUCAACCAUAGUUGGUUUCUGUUACUACCGGCGAAGUGUUUUGCUGCAUCCAUCAAGGUGGAGCUGCGACCUCGCAACGGCGGCGACGGUGAUUUGCUGCAACCGUAAUUGGUUUUUGCUACGACCGGCGAAGUUUUUUGCUACAUCCGUCAAGGCGGAGAUGUGACCUCGCGAUGACGAUGAUGGACAUUUGCUGCAGCCAUAGUCGGGUUUUGCUACGACAGGCGAAGUUUUUUGCUACAUCCAUUCAACGACGUUGAUUGACUGGUGGGCGUCGUCGACGCAAUUCCGUUCAGCGAGCAUCAACAGCGAGGGGCGGCGGCGGAGCUACAAACAGAGCUACAAUCGUCGCCGUUGAGAGCUGCAACCACAGGUGGAGCUGUUGCAUGGGUCGAGGCAGCGACGAGGACGGACGGCGAGGGUAUGGACUGGCGACGAGGACGGCCGGCGAGGGUGGGGACCGGCGACGAGGACGUCCACUGAAGGGGAGCAGCGCGAGACGGCUAGAUGCAGGGUGCUGCGCGAGCGUAAGAUGCGUGAGGAGAAAGAAGAUCUGGGGCGAAUAAUAUAUUUUUUUGCUAGAUCAAACGGCUAGGAAUAGUGGCAUCCUGCAGCUAGGGCGCGACCGGACUAAACUUUGGACCGGCGCGCCGGCGCAGAUCACUCGCCUUUGGUAAAUACAUGGCAAUUUUGAGAUGAACUCUGUAGGAAAGUUUGCAAAGAACCCUGCGAACGUGGAAUGCAACACCUAUGUUUCUUUAUUUAUUCCUAAUUUUCCUCUGUUUCAGGCUCAGGAAUGCGUGCUCCUGUUAAUAUAUUCUGUAUUAUAACGUUUACAGAGCCAACACCUGUUCCUGUUCGACUGGUACUCAUUGCUUUAUUUUUAGAUGAAUCUCGUGACCCUAUCUUGCGCUGAGCAGUGCAGACUUUGCUAGUUUUCGUGCUUCCUUCAACUGAUGCAUUUUUUUUGCGGGUUGUUUAAAUAUGCAAGCAAUGUUCUAGUAAAAGACUUGGUAGGUGAUGAAUCAAAUGCCCUUGCUCAUUCUGCCUUAAAUUACAGAGCUCAGACUAUAUAUAUUACAUGGUACAUACGCUGGAGAAAGAAAGAGUACUUGAUUCCCCAUUCGAUUCACACACACCACCCGAAAGAAGUCACGGACACAGAUACGUUGCUGCUGCUUCUUCGACCUCCAGCAGAUCCCAUCAAUCCAUGCGUCCGAUCUGAUGCAAUGCAACAACCCCUCUCCCACCACGCGCGCAAGCCAAAAAAUCGUCUUAU
rnacentral:lncRNA from 1 species